UUACGAGAAGCAGAGGCUGUCGAGGAUCGCGGAGAACAAGAGGAGGAUGGAGGCCCUGGGCCUCCGAAACCUGGCGAGUUCCGUGAUGGGUUCGAGUCGGAAGGCGAGAAAGGGCGACGCGAAGGGCAAAAGGAAGGUGGGCGGCGAGGACGACGACGACGACAACGACGACAAGGAUGGUGAUUACGCCCCUGCUUUGGACGGCGAUGGCGGCGAUGACGAUGAUCUUAGCGUCGACGAUGAGGAGGAUGAUCGGGAUUUUGAAGUAUCUGGGUCUGGUAAGACAAAGGUCGGUUCUUUUCUAUUGGGUAAUUCUUUAUCUGCUUCUGUUGUUUUUGCGUGAAUUGAAGUUCCUAGCGUAGUUGGCGUUUAAGGUUUAUGUGAAAAUGGGAAGGUCGGUUCAAGACAACGGAGUCAAGAGAAAGAAAUGAUCACAGAGUUUCUCAUUUCUUGAAUUUUUCUCAAUGAGGAUGACAAUGGGGCCAUUGAAGUGAAUGAAGUGAUUCGUCCUCGGGGGUCAUUAAUUUUUUGGCUUCGUGGCUCCGGCUUUAUUUCAUUCCAUUCCGAACUGUUGUGUAUUCACCACAUAUUGCGGUCACUCGGAAGUGUUGCCUAUAUAUUUCCUUCACAACGCUGGCUUUUUUUUGCUAGUAUAAUUUUUAGUUAAUGUUGUUGUGAAGUGUAUCCGGGAGCACUUUCUUCCUAGUUACCUCAGUUCUUUAGACUUCUUCACGAAGUGUUUUAUUCACAAAUAUUGCUGCAGUGGCUGCAUUGAGCGCCUUCUUAAUUAGAAUGAAUUUCUUAUGCUGCACCCAGAUUUUAUUGCUUCAUUGUGACAUUCUUGAAACUUCACGAGUGUUUCUAAGAAAUAGUUGGCCUAAUUAAACAGAAGACUAUCAUGAGAACAUCCAAGUUGGAUCCUAGGUAACCAUGAGAUUUUCGCCUUGAAGUGGCAUUGAAUACUUAGUUAUGCUGUUUGACUCGCCAAGAUUACCCAACUUAAGCAAAACUUUGUGCAGUUGGUUAGAAACUGUGUGAAACUUAAGUACACUUGCUGGCAGAUUAACAUGCCAUCUUUCCCUUCAUUUUUCCCUUAUUAUAAAUCCUCGAGAAUUUCAAUUAAAUUGUGUACUUUUAAUAUAUCUUGGCAUUUCAAACCUAUCACAAUUAAUUCCAAAAUUACAGUCUAAUUGUUUGUUGGCUACUUAUUUUGAAUUUCACUAUUGCUAAUUACUCCAGACUGCUUUUGUGAAGGAUGUUAAUUUGGUGAUACUCUAGUUGCAUGUACUGCAGUUGAAAAUACUGUUUUCACCAAAUUUGUUUAAAUAUUAAUACUACAGUUGAAUAAAUGAUUUAAUUACCAAAUAAUAUAGUGUGGGUUUUUUUAGUCAAAUUGACUUAUGGCUUUCAUUUAAGUUUAGCUUUUCCAGUGCUCUGUCUAUCCUCUUGGAGUGGGCUUUGGUGGAAGGCAGUUUUUCUUUCUGUAUCUCCUCUUAUUGCUUUUCAAGCAAUAAGAUUUCCAUUUAAAUCAGGAUUUAGACAACAAUAGGAAACCAUGGAUCUGAGGCGCACUUGGGAACUUCUAAGUAAGUUGUAGAUGUAUCAGUCUUGGACAUGUCAUUAUAGUAAUCGCAUUGGACAUAUUGAACAUCUGCAACUUCAUGUCCUUGGUUAUUUUAUGUUAAGCAAGAUUAGGGUGGUGUCGUAUGGAAGAUGCGCAGAUUCAUAAGUUAUGAACUUAGAGAAUUUGGCUAUGAUACUUAGUACCCAUUCCGACAUGCUUAGUUUGAAAUCAAUAUUGUUUUCCUUGUUUUUAGUCCUAUUCCAUUUUAAUAUUCAGAUCAGAUUUCAGAUAUAUCACAUAUCCCAGAGGUUGUGACAUGAGAAAAGUGAAAGGAGCUAAACCUGAAUUGUCGUUCCUAUUCUUUAAUGUAGGUGGAAGAAGUUUAAACAUUGAUGAGGGCAAAAUUGAUGAGCUGAAUUCAGCAAAUUAUUUUGAUCAUGUAUUAUUUUGAUAUGUCAUCUUAAUACCGAGCUUCUUGUCCUUCUUGGGACAAUCGACAUGUCAAUACCUUUGUAAUACUUCUGUCUUGCUUUGAAAUGUUGUUUUUCUUACCUUUUGUGACUAUCUCCUGCUCCAGGGAAAGAGAAAAGUGUCCAAACCAAGGAAGAAACCUCAGACCAAAAAGUUACUGAAUAAGUUGGAUUAUGUUGAUGAUGAUGCUGAAUUGGCGAAGGUAAAUCUAGUAUUUUCAUGAUUGUAAUAUUGUCAUUCUAGAGUGAAGCUUGGGUUUCAUCUCAGCAUGGAUUAGAAAUCUAUUACACGUUAGUAUCCGCAAGGUCAAUAUUGACAAAGUCAGUGGCAAAAUGCAGGCCAUUGUGCUGUCUCUGCAUGAUUCUGCUGGAGUUUCAGGAACAGUGAGCUCAGGGCCUCCUAAAAAUGCGGCUGGUGUAGAUCUUAAAGGCAGAGUAGAAAAGACUCAGGAAAAUCCUAGAAUGCUGAAGAGGAGAAAAACGGUUGUAACUCUUGUCCUAAUAAUUGUUUUAAGAGAAUUUCGUUUUCCUUUUCCUUUCCUAGCUGACUGUCUUUGUUUGUUUGUUUUCUUGUAAAUAAUUAUUGAUAUCCAGUUUACCAGCCGGGUGAAGAUGACUGAGGACGAGCUGAUUAUGCAUUUCUUUCAGUUUGAUGGUAAUUGAUGGUUAAUGGAGUUUCCAUUUCUAUGUUUGUCAGAUGAUGGAUGCAUAUUUUUCACAUUCUUUCCUUCAUAUAUAUAUAUAUAUAUAUUUUGGCAUUGAUGGCUGUGGCAACCACUUGUUGGUUUCGCACAUCAGGUUCACUUGUUCUUGUGCAUCAUUAGUCCAAAUGGUAGGGAGGUUCAGAGAAGCUAAUUUAUUGUUAGGCUGAAGCAUUCGCAUCCAGGAAAUGAACAUCUAUAGUAGGUCAAUCUGGAGGGAGAUAUUUAUGCGCUGCAAGUCUUCCAUCCCUUUCUUUAGUCAUGGUUUGAAAGGUGAUAUUAAACUUUUGAGACCUGGUGGAUGUUGGUUUGCUAGUAUAUAGUUUUGAGAUACGUUGCUUCUUGAUUACUGUGAUAUUAGAAACUGCCAAAAUAUGUCACAGAAUAUCAAUUUGACUAGAAGGUUUUUUCUAUGUUCCUCUGGUUACUAACAAUGAGAGUUUCUUAUGUGGGUAUUACGUGGACCUUUUUUCUUUCUGUGGCUUGUGAUCUUACUGUUAAGUGGGUACAUCUAGCCCUUCCUGGACCUCACAUUGUGGGAGGCUGGGCAAUAGACACCCCUUUUUGGCUUGUGAACCUUUUGUUUCUGGAACUGAUGAGCUUGCAUGUGUCAUGCAGAAGUGGGGAAGGGUGGCAUCACUGUGCAUGAUUUAGCCAAAGUUGCUGAUGCUCAUGAUUUUACAUGGACAGACGAGGAACUAGCCAACAUGAUUCACUGCUUUGAUAGCGAUGGAGAUGGAAAGGUCCAGCCUAGUACUAUUUUUGUUUCAUCUCCAGUCCUGCACGCAAAUCCUUUUGUCAACCGCAUUGCUGUGGACUGAACUAUUAUGAAAUUUUGAAAAAAGGUCUCAGCAUCAUUAAUUUAAUUGACUGCAGUGUUAUGAAAUCUCAUUAAACAUCCAUGAGGACAGAGUAUCUGUUGUUGAAUAGAUAUAUAAUUAAGUUAUGGGUCUUGGCAACACUUGUUAACCAUACUUAAUAAAGAAAUGUUUUUAUUUCAUUUAUUAUGCAUAAUACAAGAAAGAUGGUGCAUUGGAAAUGACAAACUUUCUUUAUUGAGGUUUUCAAGAAGUGCUUUGGCGGCACUUGUUAAUGAAAUUCUUAAAUUAUUAAUGCAGAUCAAAAUCUAGGCAAUUUUAGAAAUUAUCUUGCAUUAAUGUCCAUGUUUCAAGAAUCGAACAAUACUAAAUAUGACUUAACUAUAACUGUCUGGGAAAGUAUCACCAACUUGAUUUAAUCAUAACAAUGGGGUAGUGAAAAUAAAUGAGGUAAUAUGCUGGCAAGACUAGUCAUGCCCUGGAAAGUGUGGCAAAAAGGAUUCUGUUAGGAUAUGAAUUUUUACAUAGUUAUUUUAAGGUCAAUCUCUAGUUAGAUCUUUUAGUUAGCCCACUCUUGGCAUCGGAGAAUGUAAUUUUCUCCAUCUCCAUCUAUCUCUUUUAUUUUUAGAUCUCCUUUGCUAGAUUGAAUAAAUUUCUAGUAAUGUUAUGCAAAGGAAAAACAAUUGCCAACAAUAGUAUUAAGGAUUUCUUUUCUUAGGAAUCAACAUAAAUUUAAUGAUGUAAAGUAAACUGGGGAUUGAAUGUUGAUUCUGGUUUUGGGUCUUUAGGAAGUAAACUAUCUGUUUGUGGCGUGACUUAUCUGUCUAUGUUACAGCUAAGUCUUGAUGAUUUCUCGAAGAUUGUCCAUCGAUGCAACAUGAUACAAGGUUCUGAAAGCUCCUAAGUGGUUAAGAAUGCCAAGUCUACCUACUGUUCAGACCAGGUAUGAUGAGGAAUUGGCUAUGACUUUUUCUCACCCCUUCACUAGUUAGCAAUGAUGAUACCAGAAUUAGUUACCGUACUAGUGGUGAUUGUUAGAUUUUAAAUUCUUGGAGUUGAGGUAAGACAAAGGAAAAUGGCUCUCCAAAACUUUCUUUUACUGUUUAAGCUAAGCUGAUACCAAUAAAUAAGUCAGUGAUGAAAGAUGGUGGAUUAAGUGAUCUGGAGGACGAGGAAACCAACAUUUUCUUGCUACCUAAUGGAAUGUCCUCUUUAGAGCUCGGAUUUAGUGGAGUUUUACUUGCAGAUUUCCUCAUGUAUCGACUUCUGAUGUAUGUCUUUAUGUUCUAUUCCAGGAGGGAUUGAUCAAGAGUUCAUUUCUGCCGGGUUCUGUUUCAACAGCAAGAAAAGAGGCACCUAAGUAAGCGAGAGAUAGAAGCAAGAUAGUAGCUUGAUCCGCUAGCUGUAGUGAAGAUGUAUAUAGUAUAAGUCAGAGCUUUCAUAGAUAACUCACCAAAUGCUGGUUGUAUUUAUAUCUUUCACCAAAUGCUGGUUGUAUUACUAUCUUAGACAACAGAAUUAUCUGUGGCUUUUACAAGCUGAUCUAUUUGAGGUUGGGAUUAGUGUGACGGCAGAUUAUAGCUUGCUUAACCUUUUGGGCCAGUUGAAUUAUCUAUUGCAUUGUUUUAUACAAAGAAUGAGUACUCUAAAGAAGGUUUGGUCCUGCUGUUAUUUAUGAUUGAUCACAUCGAGACAUUAUGGGCGCGUUUGGUAACGUUUCUGUUUAAAAAUUGUUUCUGGGAACAGGGAACAGAAAUAGAAAAAAGUAUUUCUGUUCCGGGGAACAAUUUUUAAACAAAAAUACGCGUUUGGUAAACUUGUUCCGGGAAUAAAAAAUAAACAGAAACAUGUUUGGUAAAUUUGGAUAAUUUUUUUAUUUCUUUUAUUUUUUCUAUUUUUUUCUUUUUUUUCCUUUUUUCUUUUUCUUUUUCAUUUUUUUUUCUUCUUUUUGGGCCGGUCAUGAGCCGAAGGUUUUGACCCACACUGUGGCUUAAGGCUUGGAUCUGUGAAUCAUCGUAGCUGUCUAUAUAGGUACUCUUAAAAAUCAUUAGUCACCAUAAUACCUCUUUGAUUCCUAUUUCAAUACAUCACAGUGUAGCCACGUCAGUUUGAAAUACACUGUUCUUCUAGUUUGAUUAUUAUAGAUCAUUAAAAAAAAAAAAACUGGCUUUCUAUCUACAUAUGUAAAAGCCAAAACACCAUUUUAUCUCGCUUUUUAANNNNNNNNNNNNNNNNNNNNNNNNNNNNNNNNNNNNNNNNNNNNNNNNNNNNNNNNNNNNNNNNNNNNNNNNNNNNNNNNNNNNNNNNNNNNNNNNNNNNNNNNNNNNNNNNNNNNNNNNNNNNNNNNNNNNNNNNNNNNNNNNNNNNNNNNNNNNNNNNNNNNNNNNNNNNNNNNNNNNNNNNNNNNNNNNNNNNNNNNNNNNNNNNNNNNNNNNNNNNNNNNNNNNNNNNNNNNNNNNNNNNNNNNNNNNNNNNNNNNNNNNNNNNNNNNNNNNNNNNNNNNNNNNNNNNNNNNNNNNNNNNNNNNNNNNNNNNNNNNNNNNNNNNNNNNNNNNNNNNNNNNNNNNNNNNNNNNNNNNNNNNNNNNNNNNNNNNNNNNNNNNNNNNNNNNNNNNNNNNCCUCGAGGAAGUAGAUCAUUAUGAUACACUCCCCCAGUGGCGGGGAAAGGCCACCAGCCUCCUCCGCCGGUCGCCGACCAUGGCCGAGGCCGGCGACCGGCCAAAAGAAAGAAGAACAAAAAAUAAGAGAAAAAAGAAAAAGAAAAAAAAGUGUUUCUGAUUUGUGUUCCAGAAACAAGAAACAAGUUUUUUUUGUUUCUUGUUUCUGUUUCUUUUGUGUUCCUGGGAACAAAAGAACAAAAAAGGAACAGAAACGCACACAAACGCGUUUCUGUUCCUUUUUUGUUCCCAGGAACAAAAGAACAGAAAUUUCUGUUCCUGGGAACAGAAACAUUUCCAACCAUGCAGGCCCUAUCUAUCCCGUGACAAAUAUUCUCAAGUUGGUCAGACCGGAGAAACCAAGAUGCAUUAAAGAAAUGCUGCAAUAUGCACCUUCAGAAUAACCAGGUUUGUUAAAGUCGGCAUGGAAGUGAUGGGGUUUGUCUCAGUUUUGGCUGGUGCCGAGAUGUCCCGAUGUUCUCAAUAAGCUCUGGCGGGUACCUGCGAUCGGCUCUCUUUUGAGGCCUUAUAGUUUAGAGAGUUCAACUGAGGGCUACACAGAGAGCAGAUAUAGAGUCGUCAGAAGAGACACAGAAACCAUUCCUGGUUUCCACACCUUGUCAGACAUUGAUGGUGAUUCCGUUCUCUUGAUAUCCUGAGAAAAGGAACGUACGUUUUGAAUUUUUAAUUUUCAACGGUUAAUUAGAUCAUCGAACAGGCCAAAAGAGAAAGGAGGAUUCGUAGAUGGACCGUCGCUGCUGGCCACUUGCCAGACCGUAGUGCAAACAACCGCCAUUGGCGAGGUUUGCCAUCUCCUUAGCGACUACCAAGAGUGUUUCUCACCCUUCCAUGGGUUAAUCCCCCCUCCUUUUUCUUAAUUACUAAAAACUAGAAACAUUUUUUUUUUGUCUAGUAGCUAAAUUUUCUAUGUCGUAUACCCCAUGGCACACUAUACAUGUUUUACACAAUGUUCUUUCCAUUAUUGCUUAAAUUUUUUCAAACAAUCAAUUCACCCUUUCUUGAUUGUGCCGUCUUCUCCGUUUCAUUACCCUCUUUAAUCGAAUCUGAGGACAGUAACUGCAGCGGUUUGUUGGCCAUCUUUACACAGUGGUGGCGGCAGUUCCAUCACCGUCUUAUUUGGCUCAUUAUCAAUAGAAUGAGAGAUGGAAUGACUCAAAUUAUAAGAUGUGUAUAUUCUUUAAAAACGUCUUAGAAAGUUUGCUUUGUUCUUUUAACUUUAAUUACGCCCUACUAUGUCUUGGUGAAUCAGUCUGGAGAACAAUCAAACAUUCAUCUUUUAUUUAUCAAUUGUGGGGUUGACAAUGAAGCAUGAACCCAUCUUUUCAAUUGUUUGUUAGCGAAAACGUGUGUAUAUUGGACCAUGUGGAUUUCGUCGAUAUUGUAACAGCACGAAUACUUUGGUUUCUUAGACAAAUAUAAGAACCAUUUCUAUGUGGGGUCACCACUUAUAUUCCUUUCAUCUAUGGCUUUGGAGAAAAUAUUCGGUGCAGUUGGGGUAGCCACCUUAGCAUUGCACUAGUCCAUUCUGCGAGCGACAUGUGUCGCUCGUGGACCCACCUUGAAGAAAACCUGGCUUUGAGUUUCUUCCACGUGGCUAUGGUCUCGACCUAAACCUAUAAAGUUUCCAUUUUGGUAUUAGACGCAUUUAAACGAGGAACCUAAAUGAAUUUUUGCUGUACAUAACCUUACUUUUAUGUGUGGGUAUACAUAUAGAAGGUCAAUGACAAAUAUAUUCUUCUUGAUUGCGACGGGGGAGGUAAUUGAUGCGAUUAACAUAUUAAUACUAUUGCACAUCUAAGAAAAAAGGCUCGAUCUCGUUUGAUAACUAUCCUUUUGAAGUUUGUGGCUAUAAAAGAAGAACAAAUCAGGGUCACUCAAAAGUAUUGAAUAUAUUACACAAUCAUGAUCCUUUGCGUGAUAGGUUUAGAAAUCCUACUUGUCGUUGCUUUCUAUAGUUGAAGAUUUGCGUGUGAAAGAGAUGUCUCAAAAAGUAUACUUUACUGCCAAAUUAUAUUCUUCCUUGAGACAAAUUAAUCCCAACAUUCAAGCUAUUGCGAAAACUAUCUGCAACAUGAAAGCAAAAUCUAUGAUGAAAAUCUGAAUGGUGGGUUUAUGGUCCAAACUUGAUUGGAUGAGCUUAAUCGAUUCAUCUACAAUUUUAAACAUGAUGCUGAGGGUCACUUUAGGCACUCAUUUUUCUCUUAAGUUAUAUCCAUGGCAUCGACAAAGAGCUUAUCAAAUGUCUCUAUAAUCGAUUACUCUUACAAGACUAAUUGAUACAAAAUGUUUUUGUUGGAUAAGGUUGGAGUUCCGAGCUUUAAUGCUUUUUUCUACUCUUGCUUUGCCCUUUCGAGAAAAGACGAAAAAGAAGACUAUGGAUUGGCUUUUGACAAUGUUUAGCAGCAUAUUGGGUGUUGAUUGUCAACCCAGGCCUUUGUUAUUGAUAGAGAAGUUUGAUGCACUUUUCCUAGAAGUGCCAAUUUGUUGCGUGUUUGGCACAUUGAAAAGAAUAAUGUGAUAAAAUGUAAAUCUCAUUUUGAAGAUGGAAUGAAUUGGAAUUCUUUUAUAUUCGAUUUGUGUGAGGUUAUGAACUCCAAAAGUGAAGUAGAAUAUGAUGAAAAAAGUCAGCGAUUUGAAGACCAUUGUGAGAAAAGCCAUCGAUUCUUAGUUGUAUUAAAAAUAAAUUGGUUCCUUCCAAAGAGAUUGCUAAAAGUAGGGUUAAGCUGCGUACUUGCAUUGGGCAUUUAUGCAAUCCAUGGAACUUCCAUGUACGCAUAAUAUAAGAUUUAGGAUUUCCGAUGGUCUACCUCUAAAUAUAACUAAUCCACAAUAAAGGCUUGAUAUAAGGUCCUAUUUAUCAUGAUAUUACUCAAAAUAAUAGAGAUUAUUUAUUUAAGCAACUAUUCCACGAGUUGGAAAGAAAAAUCAAGAAUGGCUAAUUUUGAAAUAGGAAGUUGUUGAAAAGCAAAUUGAGCAUUUUGUACGAACAAGUGAUUCCUUCCCGUAUGAGCCCUUAACUACAUAUCAUAAAGAUUGGAAUUAAAAAAUUAAAGAAGAAGCAACUUCUAAAUGACGUGAUCCUUUGUCAUUUCAGAUUGUUAAAAAAGGGAAAAGAUGUGGUACUUGUGUAAAGGUUAUGGGCAUAAUAGUCGGGCAUUUAAAUCAAAAGGCAAAUGUCAAACUCACAUUCAAGGCCGUUGAAAUCCAUGGUGGCAAAAUAUAACAGGCACAGAGUACUUCAACACGCAAUAAUUCAACCUGAAAGGCCUAUUCUAAGGUUGGAGUUUCUCGCACCCUAACAUUGGAAUUAAUCCCCGAUAUUUUUGAGCAAAUAAUGACUAUCUUAGUAAUGCAACUAAAACUUUUAUUGUCUAAUUUAGGCAAUAUAUAUAUAUAUAUAUAUAUAUAUAUAUAUUUUCCGGAGAGAGUAGCCUUUUUUAGGGGAGCUAAGUAGCUGAAGAAACAAUGUUUUAUUGUUAAGUUGCAUACACAAUUUGUUACUAUGGCAUUGCAUUUGUAUUAUGAAGAUCAUUUACUUUUCUUUGUUGGUUUUAUGAAAAUUUUGAUGCAUUUGGAAUUGACUAUAUAUAUAUAUAUCUGCAAAUGGUUUCAAUAAGUUGUUUUAUAAUGCAAUUUCAAUUGCCACAAUUUUCUUCUCAACAACCGAUCAUUCCAUUUAAUCAAUGCAAAGAGGAUAUUCACAUGUAGUAAUGUUUUUGAGAGCUUAUUCUUUUGAAUUUGCAUGAUAAAUAAUGGAUGUUUAGAAUUUCCAAUGUGCUUAGCUUUGUCAUAUUGUGCAACUUUUUUGUUCGAAGUAACUAUAAAAAAAUUGUGUGGUGAUGACUUGAAAAAUUAAGAAAGGUCGAUUGUUAGAUUUGUUGAUUAAAAUGAAAGUCGAGCAAUUAAGAUACAUAGAUUAUAAUGAAACGACAUGUAUGGAAGUUGUGAUUAAAUGAAAUGCAUUAGUUAAAACUAGUAAAAGGAUUUUUUUUUUUUCAUUCUUACUUGUGCUUAGGUUAUUUAGAAUAAUGGUUUCCUUGUACAAAAUAAAACGAUAAAUAUACAACUCAUUAAUACAAUAACUAGUUAGCUAUUUAUCAAAUAAAACUUUUUUUUUUUUGAAAAGGAGGGACAGCAUUUUCGUCUCCAAUGGAAAAAAUUAAGAAAAGAGGCCAAACAGAAAGAAAACCUCAUGGAGCUCAAAAGGACAACAAAAAGAAUAAAGAAAAGGUAAGGAAUAAGCUCAAUUAAGGAGUAACCCAAAAGACAACAAAAAGAACAAAAAGAGGGUUGGGAAUAAGCUCAAGUUGAGAGUGGCCGACGCUUAACCUUUUACUAUGCGGGUAGAUUUGUAGGUAAUAAAUGCCAAAGUCGUGGAAGUUGCUUGACUUUUGCCUGGUUCAGGUUGCAUUUUCUAUCCCACAUAAGAUGCAAAAGUUGCCAAAGCGUGUUAAAGCGGACUCCGGUGAAAUCAAGGUAGACCAGCAAAAGUUGCAAAAGCAUGUUUUUGUGAACUAAUUCUCUUUUUGCCUUGGCGCCAAGAAGUUUCCUGAUGCAAACUGUUUACUUCCUUUCCUUCUAUAUUGUUGCAUUUUCUAUCCCAAGCAAGAUGCAAAAGUUGCAAAAGCAUGUCAAAGUGAGACCGCAAGAGAUCAAAAAAGGAGGAAGGAAAAGAAAACUUUCAUCUUCAUUUGCAAGUGAGAAGGAAAAUCACCGUGGAAAAGGGUUUGGCCCAAUACGUUAUUUGGUUGGCUGAAGAGAGAAUUCUGCUUUGAAGAACUAUAUAGAUUGAUAGAUAGAUCAUAUGACAGAAUAGAUUAGAGAUAAUCUGAAUGGUUCGCAUUGAAAAACUCUUCCGCCAUUUCGCUUGUUGUUUGAAAUCAUGAAAUUUAGAGAAAAUAGUAAAAUACUAAAAGUUAGCUUUUCCCGUCGAGAAAAAAAAAAAAGAUAUAUGAGUAAGUGAAUGCAGAGGAGAAAUAUAAAAAAAAGAAGAAAGGGAAAAAUAAACAAGGCCUAUGUAUAAUAUGCAACCAAGUGCUUGUGCUAGCAACAUCAUGAAAAAAUUCAGAAAAUAGAAGAAUUCUCUGAGCCUAUAGUUAUAGGAUGAUGGUCACAAACUCCUGAUUGAGGAGUGAGCCUCAUCCGUUGAUUUCACACAAAUAUGGGGACGGCAUUUGCAAAAGUCAAGUCCACUUCAAUUAGAUAAACUAAUAAUUAAAAGGCAGAGCUUGACCUCUAUAUAUACACUGCAUCCAGUUCCACUUCCUCAUUCACAAAUGCAAUCACAGAAUUCAUAGAACUCCAACUUCUCCAAAAAAUGGAGAAUAACGCAAUCAUGAUUGAAAGGUGCGUAAUUUAUCCGUAUGAAAAUCUCUAAGAACUCUAUGUAGGGUGCGGAUAAAAUAGCUAUUUUCUGUUAAAUCAGUUUUUUUUUUUUUUUUUGGUGGUUGAAAUAAUUUGUUCUUGAUUCGGUAUAGAGAUGGCGAGCAACCUCAACAACAGCACCAACAGAAAAUGUUUGACUCGACUCUUCAUUAUUCACAUAUGUUUAUCUCGUUCCUUACGAGCUGUAUCUUGCUUUGGACGAGCAUUUGGUGCACUUAACUUUCUAUGUUUGUUGGAACUUUUAAUUGUACUACUUUCGCAAAAUCCUUCCAUAUCAAGAGUUAUCAUCUAUAACUUACUGCAAUUAAUUUGUUUGGACUUUGCAUGUCGUUAAUACUGAGCUUUAGUUUGUAAUGUUGGACUCGCAUGUGACAGGUAAUGCAAUUUGCUCUCGCAAUCAUGCAUUAUAUGUACAAUUAAUUUGACUCAUCGUAUGGGGAAAGUGUUAAAAAAGUCCUAAACCUUUUGCAUUUACUCAUAAACCUUUUAUUUGAUGCUAAUUUAGUACUUUCUGGCUGGAUUUUGCAGACUGGUGCCGGCUAGUUGACGUGGCAUAAUCGAUGCUGAUGUUGACAAUUUUUAAUAAUAUUUUAAUAUUUUUGAAUUUUUUAUUUUCUUUUUUAUUUUCCUUCUCCUUCUCCUUCCUUCAACCAGUCAUCAAACCUCGGCGAUCGCCUAAAGGCAACAGCCAGCGAGGCUCGAGCCCUCGCUGGUGGCUUCGAGGGCAGCAAGGCCAGCUCAAGGCCAGCUAUAAGGGCAGCAUUGCAUCGAGUUGGCGAGGCUUGCCCUCAAGCUGGCCCCGCAUUGGGCGGCGAGGCUUGCCCUCGUGGCCACUAGCUAGGACUUGAGCCUCACCAGUGGCCACCAGGUCGACCUCGACCUUGCUGGCCAUCACCUUUGGCCGGUCGCCGAGGUCCGGUGACUGGCUGGAGGAAGGAGGAGAAGAAGGAAAAAAGAAAAAGAAAAAGAAAAAUAAAUAAAAAAUUUAAAUAAAUGAAAAUAUUAUUAAAAUUUGUUUAUAUUAGCGCUGAUUGUGCCACGUUAGCCGGUCGAUGCUCUUUCAGCAAAAUCCGAUCGGAAAGGAUUGAAUUGGCACCAAGUAAAAAGGUUUAAGACUAAAUUGAUACUAAAAAAAGGUUUAGGACUAAAUUGGCAUAAAUAUAAAAUGUUUAUGAUUUUUUAACACUUUUCUCCUCAUUGUACAUUUUCGUUGUGGAUAAGUAAGUUUCCGUCGAGCAAAAUUUUAAGCAUGUGGAUGAAACACUUCUAAUACAAGCUUGUAUUAUCUGACAGCAACGUAAAUUACUGAUUUCAGAUUUUGUUGUGCUUUUUUCUAUAGACUUGCAGAACAAGAAGAAGCCAUCAUUGAAAAAUUGAAGGAUUUCUUGAAAUCAUCGCUUACCUGGUCAUUAGCUCUUCUCCAAGCUAAGUAUUUACUUGUAAACAUGUAAGUGACCUUCAUCGCGAUUUUCAUAACUGUCAUCGCGCUCUUUGGCAUUAGUCCACAAACAACACCAAGCAAUUAUGGGACAACAUUCAUCAGUUUUGCGUUUUUUAUACUAGGAUGUCUUGUUGUUGGAAUAGCAAUUAACUCGAUCAUACCAAAUUCUUACUUUAAGUGGGUUGUCUAUGGUAUGUUGCUUGUUAUGGUAGCUACAAAUCUCGAUUACCAACAACUUUUUCUGGAGAUGAAACGAGUCUUCAAGUCCAUAUGCGGAGCAACUUUUUUGAGACUUAGAAACCUCUUCAUUCAAUCACAAGUGAUUAUUGAAUGUCUCUUGAUAAUUAAUUUUGCGGACCGAGAACAAUCAUCCAUGAAUAACAACCUUGUGACUCGACCGGUUGGCAAUGAUAGAGGUGGAGUUGAGGAGGACAUGGUCUAGUUGAUCUUGUGAUGGAAUUGGACACCCUUAAUCUCUCCAUUUCCCUUUACAUUAUUAGAUGUUUUGCCGUGUAUUUUAUGUUAAUAGGGUAUGCAAAUGUGUGGUAAGACUAUAAUAGUUCUUCUUUGAUGCAUUAAAUUUGCAACUUUGUAUAUUGCUUCAUCUCCAUGAAAUUUUUAUUGAUCUAGUUUUUCUUCCCGGCAAAAUUUACAAUAAUGCUGUGUUUUAUUCUGCUCUUCGUUGACUGCUCGUUGCUUUACAUGAAUAGUAUCUGCCUUAUGUAACACGCUGGGAUUAUCUUUGAAACAUGGGGUCUUUUGGUUUUAUCCCUAUGGUAUUACUCUUGUUUUUGAACUGCCUGUACUACGAAUCCACAACGCAAUUUCACGCCAAAUGACGGUUGCCAAUGAGAUGAAAAAAAGAUGGGAUUCCAUUGACCAAAUGAGAUUUCUCAUUCAAAAAAUUUUCGAUUUAAUUUUUCCAUUUGUCCUCUAAUUUUUUGUCAUUAUUUGUCCUCUAACUUAACCUGUAAUUUAUUCUUAUUGAAUGAGUUUUUUUUUUUUUCCGGUCGUACGAUUAACUUUCUAAUUUCAAAUGGUAAUUAAAUUUCAUGUCCGUAAGAAUUUGGAAAGUGUGAACUAAAGGGCAAGGAAUGCUGGAAAAAACAACACAUCGAAUCUCUGACUUUAAUUUGUACGAAAUUCUCUUUCUUCAUCUUUUAUGGCUUUUUGUUCCAAUGCAGUUGUUACUGUCGAUGUGAUCAAAUUAAUUUUCACAAAAACGGGGAUUUAAUCGACAGCAUGUCUUGUAACCGAUCGAAUUAACUUCUUAAGAUGUAAAACCCCGAUAGAGGAAGAUAACUCUCCACAUGGAAUGUUAUGUUUUCUAAUGUAAUACGUUUGCUUUCUUUUCUUUUAGAUUCCUUUGGUCAAUCAAUACGUUUGAACAAAAUCUCUGCACUUGCACAAAUAGCAUUGGAAUUGUCUGCAAUCGGCUGUAGAACUUAAGAUUGCAAUAAUCAAGUUACUACCCGCAUUGUAUAGUAUGUAUAAUCCGAUGAUCUUAAGGCAAAGAUAAAAUAUAUUGAAACAAGGAAAAUCUUUUUUUAUUUAAAAUUUUCUCAACAACUAUAUCAAAAAGAACGAGAAGUGCUAAUUUUCAUUUUGAUUAUUGGCAUAACUAAGCAUAGCAUUUAUAUGAGAUCUAUUGAUCAAAUUAUUCAACACUUUAGAAUUGCUCCUUUUCAUAUAUAAUAUGGAGUAGCGAAUAGAGGUGCUAUAAGAGUAACCCAUUACUUUUUAAGGAAUUUUUUUUGUCCCCACAGCCCUAUCUUCCUCCUGUAUCGUAGUGAUAGGUUCAAGGGGAACUGCACAAUCUGAUUCAUGAUGGGAUUCAUGAUGGGUGCUUGUUUCAUGUUGCGAGUUCAAAAUAAAUACCAUGUUGAAAAUGUUAAGGUAGGAAAAAAGGUCUAAGGUGGAAAGUAGAGUAGAUGUAUCUAAUUAGACCCAAUGCUCAACAACUUAAAGGUUUUUAGUGAAAUUAAGUAUCAGUAACUAGGUCAAUAAAUUCGAACAUUGUGCUCUGUUUGAAUCCCUUAUUAUAACAAUGUUGAAUUGUUGUGAGACUUCUCUAUUCUUGAAAAUACUAAAUUGGUAAAUCAUCAAGGCUUUUCACAAUCUUGCUACAUGUUAAUCUUCGAUUGAAUGUCGGCUUCUUUAAUGUUUUUUACAUAAUGUAUAUUGCAGUGGUGUUACGGAUGCAUUUUGAUGGCCCCGCGGUCGUGUCUAUGGACUAAACAGCCCAAAAGGUUGGGAGCUCCAAGAUUGCUAUCUUUAGGCACAUUAUCCCAAUUAUUUUUUCCCAGUCUUUUUGCUUGUCAUUUUUUUUUUUGUUCCUUAUUAAAUUUUAAAAAUUCUAUCAUUAAUGUCAAAUAUAUCUAUAAGAAAAUAUUCGAAAAACUAAGAAUUUAUUGAGCUUUGAUGUAGCUAUUAAGGGCCGAGACUGAGGUUUAUUUUUUUAGAAAUUGAAAACUAACAAACGACUCAUGAACCGUGAUGAGAAUAGGCUUAUUAUUAUAAUAUUAUUUUUGAUGUAAAUACAACAUUAACAUCGAACAUUCUUUAUGUAAAAAAUUCUUCUUCGCAUUGAUUAAUAUUUCAUCCUAGUCAUUUUCAAAUGCUCUGUCUAAAAUAAAAUUUCAUUUUGAGGCAUUAGUCAUUGAUUAUAAUCUAAUCAAAGCUUAUUAGGCGGGGUAUUGCUUUUUACCUUCUAUGAUUCACAUAAUCAUGUAGUCCAACACCUCAAUUUCGAUAAAUUUAUCAUGCAGAUACAAUGAUUGAUAGAAGUGCAUCAAACCUUUUAGGAUUUUUAAUAUCUAAAGAAAAAUCCUCUGGUAAAAAAAUUCGUCAUAUAGCAGGCACUAUUUUAAAUUGCUUAAUUCCUAAAGAUUAAAUUUGAACUCAACUGACAGCUUGUGACGAUGGCGGCUGGUGGUGCGCUCGCAGUGGAUCAUGGUGUUCGGCAAAGGAUAGCGGCGGUGCGAGGAGCCCGGCUCGGUGGGGGUCGCGGAUUGCUGCUCGGCUCGGUGGGACCUGGCUUCAAGCUGUCCUGUGGUGGAAAUCUUCCGACGGUGAUGCUUUGUCGAGAACCUGCAAAAAUAGAGAACCACCCCGAGGUGGCUGAGCAGUAGUGGUGUCGUGGGAUAGGGCUGGACGGCGGGGCAGCAGGGUCGGCGAGACUGAUGCAGCGCCAGUGGGGGUAGGGACAGCAGCUGGUAACGUCAUCGUAGGGAACAACAACAAACUUGGUGAAGGUAGCGCUAGGUGGCGGCUCGGCAAGGAUGGCGUCGCAGGGUCAGUAGUGGAAUACCAGAGGACGACCGAGCGAGACUCGGAUCGGCGAGGCAACAAACAGCGGAGGAGCGACAUCGGCGUCGAGGGGUCUUGGUGAGGCGCAGCUGGGAGGCGGCUGGGACAACAACAUGGCAGCGGCGCCGAGGUAAGGAGCUGCGAAGCUCACCGUCAGUCAGUGAGGAUGGCAGCACGGGCAAGGGCCUCGGCCAGGCGUAUGGGCUUGGCUGAAUGCUCCUUCCUCUCUCUCUCUCUCUCUUUCUCAAGUGUUUGUCUCUAGUGUUCUAAAUUUCUAAUUGCUGUCCUCGAGUUAUGAGAAUCUAGGUUUAAUUUACUCUUGCGGGCUUAAUUUCAGCCUACCAACUUGAUGGACUCUAAUAACCUAGGGUCAUUCCUUAAUUAGAAUUUUAAUGGGCUUAAUUAAGCUUAAAUUAGGCCAAUUAUGCCCCCCCCCUCUCUACAGAAUUUUGACCACCGCUCUACCAAGGCUUGGCCAAUUUCGCCCCUUCCUCGUAGGGUCAAUCUAUUCAAUUAAGCUUGGAACCAUCCACCAUCGGUCUGAUUAAAUGCAAUUAACUCAAUCAUGCUUCUAAUGACCAUAUGUUAUUUAAUUAUAAUUAUUUUUGCUAGGGCUGAAGCCUAUAUCUAAUUUUCUAAGCAGUGAAUUACUAAAUGGGACACCAAAAUUUAGGUGUCAACAUUCAUAUUAUCAAAUGAAGAGUACAAGCCCUCCCUUAUAUAUAUAGGGUGAGAGGCAAUUAGGUUUAAUUACAACUAAUGUAAACUACAAUUAACCUAACUUUAAAUAUAUACAUCUAACACUAUACAAUAAUGGUGUUUUCUCCCUCAAAAUUAUAAUAAAGGAUUAUGAUGGCUCUCUUUUAGGGUUUCAUUUCGCAGCACGCACUUAGUAGAAAGUUGAAUUUGGUACCACGAGAUGCUGACAAGCUAUAGUUUACUCUGGAUUCGGUCUAAAAGUAAUGAAAAUUGAUAAAUAUAUGAUAAAUUCCAGCAGUUUGUUCUAACAACUCAAGCUUGGACUCGGCUCAAGGAAAAUUCCAGCAGAUAGAUGCUUUUCCUUUUUGAUUAUUUUAAUUUCAAGGUUAGAAUUGGAGGUCAUACACGUAUAGAAAGCUGAUGAACAGUGACUGGCGUGCGCGUGUAUGUGAGACGUGAAUAGAAGUCUAGGCUUGGCAAGAAAUGCUGGGGCAAGACCGUUCGUUUCUCGAAGACUGAUAUUUCUUCACAAUAUAUGGCGAAUAUAGUGAACGUGUGAAUGCGUCGAUGACGUUGAUAUUCUUCACAAUAUAUAGUGAACGUGUGAGUGCGUUAAUGAUAUUGAUAUUCUUCACAAUGUCAUGUAGAAAUCGGUGCAAGUAAUUAAACAAAAUAAGUUAAGAGUGGGCCCAAAAGAGGAUGUUUCCAAAGGGUAGGUAGGAAAGGUCUUCUUGACGUGGAAUCUAGGCAGUCAAAGAGCAACGCCGGCCGUGAAUAAGAGAAAAAAGAUCCCCACGGUCUCCCAGUCGCUGCAAAUGAAGAAAGAAAAAGCAUCAUAGUCCCUUUAUUGGAAGACAUCCGCCCGCCCCCCCGCGCGCGGCGGUUAGCGAGGAGUUCUAUAAAAACCAUACCCGAUAAUGCAGUCCACACAAAGGCCUCUGGAGCGGAGGUUAAAGAAGCGUACUCUCUUAGGUUUUUCGGAAAGCUAGCGCUGAUCAAUGUCCAACAUCAACGUUACUUCAGCUGAAGCUCGGAGGUUAGUCUUGCCUUCAAAACAGUCGAGAUUUAUAUUGAUUAGUGCUCUCUAUUGUUUGUCUAUGUUUACCUUGUCCCUUAUCAACUGCAUCCUCCUUUGGGUCACGAGCAUUUGGGCACUAGGUUUUCUAUGUUUCUUGGAAUUUUUGUUCGCCUAGACUUUUACAAAUCCAUCCAUAUACAUCAAGAGUCAUUUACUAGUAGUUCUGUCAAAUGAGUGGAUCGAGUCGGUUUUGGGUAAGUUGAAAUUGGAUCUGACACAAAUUGACCAAUUUUUAUGCAAUACAACUAAUUUAAAUCUGAUUCGAUACAAAUCCAGACCUAACCCAAUCAGGACUUCAAAGACGAGUGGAAAAAUGGGUUGCGGCCCUCACUUGACCUCGCCCAGGGCCGCGGGUGAGGCUGGCCUUGCCUAGAUCCGACGAAGGCUUCGCGGCCCUUGCCUAGUGGUCAGUGAGCCUCAUCGGAGGCUCACUGGCCACUACGAGGAGAGCCCAAGGAGGAAGAAGAAGGAAAAUAAAAGAAAAAAAUUAUUAAAAAUUCAAAAAAAUAAAAAUUAUUUAAAAAUUGCCUUGUCAUUGUCUAGCCAUUAGCCAUCAUUCACAUUAGUGCUGGCCAUACAAAAUUGACCAGAUGGAUUGAAUUGAUAUCGAUGUAAAAAUGUUUAGAUUUAAAAAUGUUUAAAACUAAAUUGAUCCAAAUGAAAAUUUUUGGACUGAAUUGGUAUCAAUAUGAAAAUGUUUAUGACUAACUUAAUUCAAUUAAAAGGUUUAUGACUGAAUUGAUACCAAUGCAAAUGUUUAUAAUUUUUUUGAUACUUUUCCCGCUGUUUGUAUGACGAGUGAAAUGGAUGUCUAGGCUUUUUUCUACUUGUUAUGUUUUAUAAAAUACGCAAAAGUGUGAUCAACAUCAUGAAGUGUUUUUUUUUUUUUCAUGUUUUGGCACCAUUAUGAUUGGACUGGGGUUUUUUUUUUUUUUUUUUUGUCGGUCUUACUCUAUUCCUACUCUAACUUUCAUUCUUAGACUUUUGCCUUUGCCUCUUUGCAGGGCAUGGGAGUCGAAAUCCACUCCUGAAACUAAUUCAUCCCAAUCCCAACCCCCGUGAGAAGGUGGGGAUUCGAACCCCCCACCCCUCCUUCCAUGUUGGAAGGGUGGCCACUGGGGCAAACCCGAGUGGUUACUGGGGGUUUGCUUGGACAAUUAUUCGUUGUGGAAUUUAAUAUGAUAUUUAUGUCUUAAUGUUAUGGUGCUCUUUUGACUGUUCGUGUGAGGAGGGAAUAUUUGAAUGAAGACAUGCAUAUCGAUAGAGGCGUUGUUAAGCCACGAGAGUUAGGUUCUACACCUUUUGGAAGUUGAUUGAAGCUAGAUAUUGAUAGUGCAAAAUCUACUUCCAAAUUGAUCGUUUCCCCAAUGGUAUCACUUCUAUUUAUGCCCUGCCUAUAGUAUGGACCAACAAUGCCAUUUCACUCAAAAAAACGCUUGUCUUAUAUCAAUAUUACUUACUUCGUUCAUGAUUGUAACAAGACCUAUCACAUAUCAGUGAUGGUAAUGGAUCUUGAAUGAGUUUUAUCACAUAUCAGUGAUGGUAAUGGAUCUUGAAUGAGUUUUACAUGAUUUACGUGUCAAAACGUGAAGUCGAUCCUUGUAAGCCCAUCACGGCAAUAAGAGGAUUCUUUUCUUGUGCCAACUGAAUUAGACAUUGGUGAUGUCCCCAUCUGCACUUAUCUCAAUCUAUUUAUGAAAAUACCAAAGUGGUAAAUCAUCGACACUUUUCACAAGUUUGCUACGUGUUGAUCUGAGAUUGGAUGUUGACUUCUUCAAUGUUUUUAGAUAAUGUACUUUGAUGGCCCCGCGAUCGUGGCUAUGGUCUAAUAGCCCAUAGCGAAAACCGAUCUUUAGGCACAUUAUCCCGAUUAUUUUUUUCCCCAUCUUUUUCCUUGAUUUUUUUUGUUCUUUAUUAUAUUUUACAAAUUCUAUGCUAAUAUGAAAUAAAUUUAUAAGAAAAUAUUGGAAAAACUAAGAAUUUGUUGUGCUUUGAUGUAAUGAUUAAGGGCCACGACAAAGGUUUUCUUUAUUAGAUAUGGAAAACUAAAAAAUAACUCAUGAACCACGAAGAGAAUAGGCAUAUACUUAAGUCUGAUGUAAAUACAACAUUAACUCCAAACAUUCUUUAUGUAAUAAAUUCUUCUUCGUAUUAAUUGAUAUUUCAUCCCAGUCAUUUUCAAAUGCUGUAUCUAAACUAAAAUUUCAUUUGAGGCAUUAAUCAUUGAUUAUAAUCUAAUCAAAGAUUAUUAGGCAGGGUAUUGCUUUUCCCCUUCUGUGAAGUUCAAAGUCUUACUCUACUCAUUCUUCUGUUGAAAUUUGAAAACAACAAUGAAUUUAUCUUUGCUAGGGAGAAAAUAAUUGAUUCACAUGAUCAUGUCGUCCAACACCUCAAUUUUGAUAAAUUUAACAUGCAAAUAUAAUGAUUGAUUGAAGUCCAUCAAAUCUUUCAACUCUUUCAAUCUCUAAAGAAAAAUCGUAUUGUAAAAAAAUUCGUCAUACUAUUACAGCAUACACCAUUUUAAAUUGCUUAAUUCCUGAAAGAAUAUAUGUUAAAUGUAAGUAUGCAGAUUUUCUAACAACAAGAAUACUUUAAUGAAAUAUAUUGCGGCAAUGCAUGGACCCUCUUUGGUUGUUCAUUAAUUGGCUUUAUUUUAUAAAACAAAAAUGUGAUUUAACACGUUUUUUUUUUCAUAUAGUGUGAAAACGAAAGUUGAAGUUUUAACUUCAAAAAUGUCGUAAAAGUUAAAACUAAUCUACACAAAUGGGCGCCCAUAAAAAAAAGAAUAAAAAAUAAGGAGUUCUCUUCUGUCAGAAUAAAAAUCCCCAGCGAGGAGAACAUCGAUAAGAGGAAGAUCCUAUCUUUAAACUAAUUUACUUAUCCAAUUCAAGCGUAAAGCUCGUAUUGAGUAGAUGUAUUAGAAAGUUUCUGCAUUUAGUAUAAAAUAAAGUUAACACUUUCUAUAUCUUGGACAAUUUAAUGAGUGAUACUUUGGGACCUUGGACAAUUGAAUAAUAUGACAGUGAUAGCUUUGGACAUUCGUGUCAUUGACGCCAAACACGUUUCAAUGACGCCAACUUUAUAUUAGUCAAUUGCCCGAAAGUAUCACUUCAUCUACACUUUCUAAACACUUCUUCGUUCACUAAACAAGGCCACCAUAGAUACUCUGCAAUUAAUGGGAGUUAAUUGAGCUCAAACUUCUAUAGAAAAUGAUGGAUCAUACAGUGAUACUCGAAAGGUACGUAAUUUAUUCAUGUAAUUAUGCUCUAAGAACUCUGUUCAGAGCGCAUAUUAAGUAGUCAAUCAUUUUCCCCCUUAAUAUAUCAGUCCAGGGGCGAUGUGCAGCCACAAUAGCAACUAUAGGACAUGUUUGAGUUAAUCGAGAGAUUCCACAUUAUAUUCACCUUAUUAAAGUUGCUUCUCAUUGCACAUUUCAAUUCGAAGAACACUAAGGCACUGAGCUAUGUGAUUUAGCAGUUUUAUAUUACUUGCAAAGUCAUCUAUCUCAUAGUACUAAUCGAAUUGACUGGAAUUGUCAGCCCAAACUAAAUACAUCGGUACCUGUACAUUGUUUUUGGGACUCUUAACUCUGAUUUGCUUCUUUAUAUAAGCUUGUCUCUGGUCACAUGGCUAGUUGCCAAUAUGUGCUGAUUAGUGUUUGUUUUAGCAUUAUCUGACUUGCUUGCACAAGGUUCCAACCUAUUUCAGGAGAUUGUUCACCCAAAUGGGUGCCAUUUUCUGAAGUUCAGUUUGAUUUUUGAAGCUGCAGUCAUACUUUGUUUGUGUAUCACUUUUAUUGCAUGUUAUUUGUAAUAAAUACUUCUGAUUUAUGGGAAAAGAGUGUUAUCAUAUACAUGUUCUGUAUUUGGUGAACCUUGCCUUGUUGCCACGUUACGUACACGAGCAUUUUAAUUUCAUUUGAUGGUUUCAUUUGGGUCGAAUUGGUUUUUCCUAAUCUAGAAAGUGUCUAAGAGUUUUCCAUAGAUAAAUUCCUAUGACACUUGUAUGAGGGGAAAAUUAUCAAAAAAGUUCUAAAACUAUUGCAAUUGUGUCAAUUUAGUCAUAAACUUUUUUUUUUGACCAAUUGAGUCCUAAACCUUUUACAAUUAUUCUCGAUCAGUCCAUCAGGCCAAAAUUAUCUGGUCAGCGCUGACGAGCUUUUUUUAAUAAUAUUUUAUUUUUUAAAAUUUUUUAUUAAUUUUUUUUCCUUUUUUUUUCCCCUCUUCCUCCCUCCUCCCUCCUCCUUCCUUUGGCUCCGACGGGGUGAGCCCUCACUGGCUCUAGCGAGGAGGCCUCGCCAGACAUGACGGCGAGCCCCCCUCGCCAGAUUCGGCGGGGGCUCGCUGUGCCGGAUCGCCUCGCUAGAUCCGGCAAGGUUUCGGUGAGCCCCCCUCCCCGGAUCUAGUGAGGGCUCACCUCGCCAGGGGGCAAUUUUCUUCUCAACCGACGGUGACCUCCUCGCCAUCGAGAGGGACGAGAAUCUCAAGGGCUUCUAAGCAGAAACCCUCGCCUCCGCAUCGGAGUUUAGGUUAGGCAAAUUGUCCCUGGGCACAAGGGGCUACCUCAACCUAAGCCUCUCCGCCUUCCGCUCCUCCCUGUUGCCACCGCGAGGCUAGCCCUCGCCAAAUCCGGCGAGGGGAGCUCGCCGAAACCUUGCUAGAUCUGGCGAGGGCUCGCCUCGCCUGGUGACCACGAGGCGAGGCGAGCCCGCCAGAUUGGCUAAGUCCGGCGAUCGGCUAGCCUGGCUAGUCGCCGGAGCCAAGAGAAGGAGGAGGGAGGAGGGAGGAGGGAGGAAGAGGGAGAAGGAAAAAAAAAGAAGAGGAAAAGAAAAAAAUUAAUAAAAAAUAAAAUAUUAUUAAAAAAAGCUCGCCAGCGCCGGCCGGCCAAUUUUGGCUGGAUGAAUUGAUUGAGAAUAAUUGUAAAAGGUUUAGGACUCAAUUGGUCAAAAAAAUAAAUUUAGAACUGAAUUGGUACAAUUGCAAUAUGUUUAUGACUUUUUUGGUAGUUUUCCCCGUGUAAGAGCAACAGCUUUUACGAAAUGGAUAAAAUUUGUGUAGCCAACAAGUUCAUCCUUCUGCUGAUAAAAGAAAAAAAAAGGGGAGAAGUACACUAUCAGUGCCAUAAGUUGUGUACGGCGCUCACUUUGGUGCCAAAAGUUUAUGUCGGAUCACUUAAGUGCCAAAUCGGAGGAAAAACGAUCACUUUGGUGCCACCGGCUAGAAAUUCCGGCCAAAAUGAUUACGUGGCUUUUAUAUUUAAAAAAAAUCAAUAAACCCUUUAAACGGCGUCGUUUUUUCGUCCUACUUAAGAAAACGAUGUCGUUUUGCCGUCAUAUGUGGAUGGCUAAGGAAAAACGACGCCGCAUGGCUAAUUUGGGAUUGAAAUUAGGGUUUUCUUUUGUUCAUCCUCACCGACCUAGCUUGCUUGACCACCGUCGCUUGGCCACCGUGCUCGGCCACCGUCGCUCGGCCACCGUGUUCGGCCAAGAAGUGAUGGGAAAAUAGGAGGCGAGGGCGGAAGAGGAGGAGGAAGAAGGGGGGUUGAAGGUGCAGAGAAAGAGAGAAGACGAGGAGUGUGAACGAAACAAGGAGGGCGUAGAUGGAGAUGUUGGAUUGGGCUUUGCUCAGAGAGUGGCUGGUGCUGGUGUUGUUCUUCGGAGAAGAAGACACCGCCGCCAUGGCUUCUCUCUCUCUCUCUCUCUCUCUCUCUCUCUCUCUCUCUCUAUUUGGGGAUUUAGGGUUUCGACUUAGGGUUUAAGACGGCAAACGACGUUGUUUGGUGGUUUACAUGUUGACUGUACUCUUCGGCGAGCCACAUCAGCGUAAAAAAUUAAUAAAAAAUUGCAACGUCGGAUUUCCGGCCAACCGAAUCGGCAUUGGCAUUGAAAUGAUCAUUUUUCAAAAUUUUUGACACUUAAGUGAUCCGAUGGAAACUUUUGGCACUAAAGUGAGCACCGUACACAACUUAUGGCACUGAUAGUGUACUUUUCUUGAAAAAAAAAAGUAACAAGUUUAUCCGUCGGAUGGAACUAAAUUCUAUAUUUCUUAGACCACAAAAAAGGGGGAACAAAAGGGAAUCCCUCUUUUUACAUUUGGCCACAUCUUCGAGAUAUAAUAGCGGCAGAGCACUCCAUGCUUUACCAAACCUGUUGAAGGCAUAAUCUGCAUUUUACCUAUGCAUCUAUGAAUAAUGCACACAUUAAUAGCAUUUGAUUAUUUUUUCAAUCCCAAAACAUCAUAGAUUCUACCCUACUUGGAUAGAUAAACCGGCGAAUCUUCCUAUGACAACUAAAGAACCUUUCCUUGUCCGCCCACCUCAUCAAACAUUGCUAGCGAUUGCAUUCCUGAGAGUGUUCCUGUGGAAUGUAAUUCCUUGGCUUGCCUCGUUGUAUCUUUGAAGUUUUGGCAUGCACCUUCAACUCUAAGAAGCUGGUAACAAUGUGCUUUCGCUCUCACUAGUUAUCUAUUUAUGUAUAUGGACUUUGUUUUCCGCUCUGAACAUAUGAGAGCUGUUGCGGUUGGCGAUGGUGCAUUGACGGCGGCUAUUGGCGGACCAAGAGUGAUGGAGAAGGAAUGAAGAUAAAAGAAAACCACCGGAAAUUGAUGAUCCCCGAGAGAAUUGCCUGAGCUCCCCCCUUCACCUCUUGUACUUCUCUGCUGAUAUUGUGAUCGUGAGUGGUUGUGGUGAUGAAAUGGAUUGCAUUAGAUGGGAGAGAGAGAAUCAAUUCAGGUGUCAAAAACUUGUAUAGGGGUAGCCAUGGCUCUCAUCAAGCUCUUUGGCUUCAAGGGAUAAUCGAAAAUCUUUUAAAAAAGUAGUGUCGCAAACUGAGAAGAGUCAUUGAUGAAUAAUAAUCCUGCGACUUGACCGGUUGGCAUUGAUGGAGGUGGAGUCGGGGAGGACAUUGUCUAGUUGAUCUAGUGAUGGAAUUUGGCACCCUUUAUCUCUCCUUUUCCAUUUGUACUAUAAGAUUUUUAUAUAAUAUGUGAAAUGGAUAUCCGAGCUUUUUCCUUUGUAUUAUGUACUUGUACGAUAUGUAAAAUUGUGGUUUGACUAUAGUAGUUCUUCAUCGAUACAUUAACUUUGCAACUUGGCAUGUUUAUUCCAUCUUCAUGAUUUUUUUUAUUGAUCACUUGUUUUUUUCCCCAUAGCAACAUUUACAUUAAUGCUGCAUUUGAGGUUGUGAUUUUGAUUUUGGAAGGUCAAAUGGCAGUAUCUGAAGCAGAAUUUAAAAUAUUAGUGGAAAAUCCACUUUGAUGACCUUAAAGUAAAAAACACAUAACAAUUAAACGUGACAUUUUAUAUAAAAUAACCAUGGAUGCACAUGCACACCCGAUUGUGGAGAUAAUUACCAAAAUAGUUUCAAACAUAUUAUACAUAUAAUAGUUUAGCCAUAAACUUCUCAAUUUUACUAAACUAAUCUUAAAUCUUUUUCGUCACGAGAGAAUGGCCUUAGUGGAGGGAAAGGAGAUCAGCCAUACUAACUUCUGAAGUUCAGCGAGAAAAGGAGGGUCCUGGGAGAGUGAGAUCGUAGAAAGGAAAACAGGAGAUAGAGUAUGAGAGUGACGAGAUGGAGGAGGCCCGUCAACACCACAGUAAGACAACGAUCUUCAUAUGGCCCAAAUCCAUUCUCGGCCUCUAUCGAUCCAUCAUGGGAUCGCACGCAAGCCUGUCUUCAAGCACGAAAGGUUGAAUUUCCCGAUAACCCCAAACUUGCCAUAUUUAUAAUUUAUUCAAUGCUCGUUAUCGGUUGCGCAAUUUUUAUUUUUUUUAUUUAUUGAAGUAGGAUACUUAGUCUUGGAGAAUUAAGUUGUUAUGACUGAUGAUUUGGUCUUCAUAUGUGUGGAUUCUAGAUAGGCUGGGGUAUUUAAUGAUAGGGUCAUGUUUGCCUCCGAUUCUGAUUACAGGAAACUCCUUUCAGUCAACCCUUCGAUUGAUAGAUUACACUUUUAUAUGAUCAUCGUUCACAUGAAAUUUAAAUAUUGUUAGAAUUUUCUUCUAAUAAUAGAUGGAUGGAGGAAAACACAAUUCUCAAUUAUAUUAGUGCUAGCACAAUUAUUAUAGACAAAUGAAUUUUCGAUAAUUAUUACCUAAAUCGCUUUAUGAAAAUGGAAAAUAUUAACACAUGUUCCUAGAACAUUAGUCAAAUUAUGAUAAUUGUACUUUGUCCAUGAAAAUUCAGUUUUUACGUUUAAAUUUAGGUAUACUUUCAUGUUAAGUCUUGUAUUUUAUUUUGCUUGGGCAAUUGAAUCCCCCAAUUUUCGAGUAUUUCAAUUUGCAUAAUUUCUUCAGUCAAGUAAUUUUUGUCAUUAAUAAUUGCAAGAACUUAGAUGUGGCGCUGGCACGCAGAUGUUACAUUUUUCUUUCUAAAAAAUAAAAAUUACAAGAAAAUGUUUUAAUAUUCAUUAUUUCUCAUUAAUAUAUUUAAAAAAAUUGAUGAAAAGAAGCGGAAAAGAGAGAUGGAAACAAAAAGGGUUGAGGUAAAACUGAAAAUUAAAUGCUGAAAAUUUAAGUAUUGCUUUAUAAGAGUUGUUUGAUGAUAAUUAAAAGUUAAGAGUAGAAUAUUAUCAAUCUCUUACCAAACAUAGAGAAAAGACUAUUAUUGGUAGGUUUUCCAAUAUAAUUGAUAAAAUUCUAAUUACUAUCAAUUAUUUUUCUAUUGAACAAUCUGGCAACCCUUCAUUUUAAGUGGAAUAUUGACUUAAUUAGGUCAUUUAAGUCAAUUCUAUUCAAGAUUAUCAAACAAGCUUAAUCUCAUUACAUUCUGAUUUUAGUUUUCAAAAGCUAAUUGGAUUAUCAAACAAGUUUAAAAAUAGAGAGAGGAGAGGGAUGGGGCUGAGAUGGACAAUCGCUGCUCACUAAAGAGAGUGGCAAACCCUCGCCAGAAGUAUCUAGCCCUCCCUAGUGCAAAUUGAUGCUUGGUGAGAUUAUGUGAGAUUGCUGAACGUGUUUGAUGGAAUGAAAAUGUUUGAUGUGUCUGAGGAAAAAAAGCCUUUGAUAUAAAAGAGUUCACCACCGAGGCAUGAAAAAAUACUCCUCCAAGGAUAAAGAAGGCAAAGGUUCGCCUCCAAUGAAUUGGACAAAGAAUCGAAAAAAUCACUUACUUCAGAGAAAUUCUCAUGUAUUAUCAACUCACAAAUUUGUAUCCAUAUAACUGAGAGUACACCUCUUAAUUAUAGAGGGAUUAGGACACUAAAAUAGGAAACAUUAAUCUAGGAAACCUUAACCUAGGAAACAUCAAAUACUAGAAAACCAACUUAUAACAGGAAACAUUUGACUCAGCUGAAUGAUUUUUUAUUCUUCAAUUUUUUUGAAACUCUAUCUUUUGGAUGCCUUCUCUCUAUUAGAACUCGCUGCUCCCGCAUCGCGAACCACCGAAGCUAGCAACAUCCUCCACUAUCGCAAGGGCUGUUAUCUCUUAGCGACCACAAAAAGUGUUCUUCCACCCUUCCAGUGGUUAUCCCCAGGUCAGAAACUCAACAGAUUAAAAAUGGAGGAAAAAAAGAAGAAAUGUUCAUCUUCAUUUUCGAGUGAGAAGCAAAAUCAUCAUGGAAAUGUGGCCGGUGCAAUACUUGUUUGGCUGGCUGAAGAGAAAACUAAGCUUUUUUUUUUUUUUUUUUGUGGGUGAUGAAAACUAUACCUUGAAAAGCUAUAAAGAUAUAUAGAUCAAAGAACAGAUAUGGUUUGCAUUGAAAAAAAACCUUUUUGCUGUCGCAUUCGUAGUCUGAAAUAUUUCACAUUUAGAAAAUGGUGAAAUACCGAAAGUUAGGUUUUCCCGAAAAAGUUAGAUAAAUAAAUGAAUGCAUGGGAUAAAUAAAUAAAAAGAUUUAUUUGUUUCAAGAAAAAUGAAUGAUUUGAAAAUAUUUUCCUAAUAAUUAUCGCAUGUAUUGCUUGAAAUAAUUAGUUAAUGAAAAAAAAUAUUUCAUAACCGAUAAUAAUUUAUAUCUAAAUAUUUUCAUGACAAAGAAAAUAUUUUCAAUAAUUAUAAAUUUUUCUGUUGAAUAAAUAUUUCAAGCAAAAUAAAUGGAGUUUAAGUGAUAUUUUCUUUAAGACUCUGUUUGUUUUACAGAAAAAAUUGAUUCAGAAAAUUUUUUCCUAUAAAUAAUUGUUUAUACUGCUUACAAAAAUAAAUGAACAAAAAAUAUUUUCAUCAUCUAUGAAAAUGUCUAGACAUAAAUUAUUGGUGAUAAUGAAAAUAUUUUUCAUUAAUUAAUUAUUUCAAUUGAUACAUGUGGUUAUUUUUAGAAAAAUGUUCUUUAAAUCAUUUAUUUUCCAUGAAACAAACGUGCCCUAAAGAAGAAAACCAAGUGCCAUUUUCUAUUGAAGGUUUGAUAUGAUCUGAUUUGAAAAUGGUGUCCAUGACAUAUAUAAUCCCAAUUAGAAUUUGGCCAGUUUCCGUUUAUUCUUCAAAAGCACCCUUCGAGAUGAAAUAAUUUAACUUUGAUUAGGGUUGGGGAUUCAUCUUGGUGCGAACAAACUUUUUUUUCUUGCAUUUCUAGUCAUUUUCUAUUAAGUAUUGAUAAGCAUCAUACAUAUGCUAAGUUGAAUCGGAAUUAUUAAAUCUGGAAGGUCUAAUGUGAGAUCCACAUGAAUCCCACUAAAUCGAUCUAAUGUUAACACACUUUCCAGAUAAUUUUUCAUUCUCUAUGCCGUUUCUUUUCGAACUUAAGGUGGGUGAUUGCUAAUUCAUAUUGUUGGUUUUCCAUGAAAAUUUUUCAAAUCAAACUACCGCCAGUUACAAAAAAUUAGUUCAUUUAUAGGAAAGUAGAAUACUAGACCUUUUAUUUUGAAUCUCCUCCGAGUCAAAUAGCUCUUCGGAUUAUCAUUAGGUCCACUUAUAGCAUAAUAGUAAGUUGGCUAUCUGCCAAAUAAAUUAUUUUUAAAAAAAAGGAGGGACCUUGGUUUCGUCCCAGAUGGGAAAAAAAAAAACCAAAAUUGAGUAAUGGGAAAAAAACCAGUUCCAAUCGAGAGCCAUCCACAUGAGGAGAGCUUGCCCUUGAAACAAGGCCAUGGUGAGGCUGGCCUCGCCUAGAUUUGGGCAAAGCUGCCUUGCUUGCGGCCCUCGGGCCUCACCUAGAUUUGGGCAAGGCCAGUAGUGAGGGCUACGACCCUCGCUGGCCACUCGACAAGGGCUUUGUGGCCCUCACCCAAUGGCCGAUGAUCGUUGGAGCCUCACUAGCCAUUGUAAGGGGGCGAAAGAAGAAGAAUAGUAGGGGAAGAAGAAGAACAGUGGGGGAAGAAGAGAGGAAAAAAGGAAAAAAAGAAUUAUAAAAUUAUUAAUAAAAUCGAAAAAAAUAAAAAAAAUAAUUUAAAAAUUGCCACGUCAGCAUUUGCCGGACGAUGGCAGUCAACGUCCACAUUGGCGCCGGUUGGCUAAAUUUGGCUGGAUUGACAUAAUUAUAAAAGAUUUAUGACUGAAUAGGCAAAAGAAGAAGAAGAAGAAGAAGAAGAAGAAGAAGAAGAAGAAGAAGAAGAAGUUUAGAAAUGAAUUGGGACAAUUACAAUAGGUUUAGGAUUUUUUUAGUAAUUUUCCUACAAUAAAAGAGGGAAAGCCAAUGAGGCAUCUGUCCCAGUGGCUGGGAGGUUGGGAUGGGGACAUUAAAGUCCAAGGGUCAAACCCUGGCAAAAACCAGAGAAAAAAAAAUAAUAGAAAGAAGCUGUCCAAUUAAUUUCUAACUUAUUGCAUGUAUGUUAAAGCAAUCUAAAACUUUUUAAAUUUAUCAAUUUAGUUCUUAACAUUUGUACAAAAUUUCAUUGUAGCCCUUCUAGCUAAUAUUUGCUGAAAAUUUGGUGAUGUACCAUAUAGGACAAUUGACAAUGACUUACUGGAAAUCAUAUUUGAUUGUCGAUAGCUCAUCAUCUAAUCUAGAAUGGUUAAUUGUGCAAACAUGUGUAAAAAUUCAUCCACACUAUAUGACAAUCAAGUGCAAGACAUCAAACAUGAAAAUUUCUUUUUGAACGACACAUUAAAAAGGUUGUAUAACUUUUGUCAUGGCCAUGCAAAGAAUGUCGUUUUUCACAUCUAAUUGUCAUCAAGUUAAAAUUGUCCUAAACCGCAUAAUUUUUUUGACAAGAUUUUUGCCCGUUGAAGCUAAAAAGCAAAAUGUUUGUAAAAUAAUUUUUGUAUUUCAACCAAUGCCAUGAUAUUUAGCAGUAACAAAGUGCAAAUACGAUUCUUUUAUGUGAUUUAUAAUCUUUUACAACGACUUAAGACGUUUUUGCCAUAUUGUUUUGUCGGUUUUGAAUCACACAACGAAAUAUCUUUCACCAAGUGUUAUAUUUUAAUUUUUAUUAAAGGAAACUUAGGAUCUAUGCUAGUAUUGGACAUAGAGGGUCAAAUCUAAUGGAUAUAUAUAUAUAUAUAUAUAUGUAUAUAAUAUAGUCUCAAAUUUAAUGGAGUUAUUCAAUAUAACCUUGGAAUUAAUGAUAACUAGUGUCGAAAUCUAAUCAAUAGCUUGAUUCAAACACUUCAACACGUUAAUGAAAGCCCAUUAAAAUCGAAGUGGUUUAUACAACAUCGAAGCUAAUUCAAUACUAGGAAGGCACUGCUCCUAAUUGAGUUCAAGGACACAACAUCGAAACCUAAUCGAUGACGCUGGAUAGUAGAAACAACACCCGAUAGGUACUGCUCCUAGAUGGAUAUAAAGACACAACGUCAGAAUCUAAUCGAUGAAGCUAGACGAUGGAAAUAACACUUGGUAGGUACUGCUCCUAGAUAAAUACGAGGACACAACGUCGUAAUUUAAUCGAUGACGCUGGAUGAUGGAAACAACACUUGGUAGGUACUGCUCCUAGAUUGAUAUGUGGACACAAUGUCGGAAUCUAAUUGAUGACGUUGGACGGUAGAACAACAUUGGAAUCUAAUCAACAACACUACCUAGAAUAGAGGCACUCGUCAAAAUUGAAUCGACGAUGGGAAUCUGAAGCUACAACUAAACUAAGCUAGGCUAUGAUGACUAAAAGGAUAAGAUAAAUGAUUUUGUGUGUUGUUUGAGGGGCUUCUUCAUUGAAUUGUCUACAGUAUUUAUAGGCCAAUCUGAUAACCGUCGACGGUUGGUUGAUUCCUCCAUGAAAGUCGCUCCAUGUUCUCUCUUUAACCGCUUUAUCCAUAUCUUAUUGUCUUCUGAAUUGUUCGAUGAUACUCACAUGACUUGUCCAUCAAGUAUUAAUUGCUCCUUUGAUUUUGCGCACCCUUUUAAGCACCAAGUGUUUCCGCCUAAAUCCCGAUGCCAAUUCUAUCUGAAUUUUACGUCUUUAGUAAUAUUUCUUGGCCUAGACACGUGGCAAUCAAUUACUUUAUCAUUGAAUCACGUAUCUCCACUUGUAGGCCCAUCGAAAUCCAGUCUAAGGGCUCUUGAAAACCUUGGCCAUCCUUGGUUCCCAUGACUGACUUGGGCUGGGUUGAUAUUAAUCACAACCCACACGUGACAUCAAGGGUGAUUUUGAAUGCCUAUAUUUCUUGUGACCAGCACGUGAUAGUAAAGAUAAUUUUAGGUGUCAAUACAUAUACAAGUGCAAAAUGUUGUAAAAUGUUACUUCUAUAAUUCCCGUAACAUUUUUCUAAUACACAUACAAUAUUAAUCAUUUCCAAUCGUAUGACGUCACGAUGGUUUGUUAUAGCUAUAAUGAAAAAUGUCAUAAAACAAAAUUAGAGGAUUUUGUGCACCAUAAAAAUCUCAUUUGAAAAUUUCCAAAAACCCGUUCAAUUGCCCACCCUUAAAGAAAAAGGCUCCCUUGGGGUCACUAUUCGACUGUCAUUGACCGGAAAUAAGAUCCGGUUCCUUGAAAAGUGUAAAAGAAAAAGAAGAGAUAGAAGAAAUCCAACCAAACAAAAAGGAAAAAUAAAAAGGUAAUAUAAGUCAAGAAUGGGCCCCACUUGAUCUUGUUGAGGUUUGCUGAUACAUGUGGAGGAGGAGGUCCCCGAUCGGGAGGGACCCCCUCCUCUCGUCCCAUGGGAUUGGAGGCCCCAUCAUUUUCCAAGUUCCCUAGUCCACCCGGAGGCCGCAUUAUAAGUUCUCCAAUUUAUAAUGCGGCCUCCGCGUGGACUAGGGAACUUGGAAACCCAUGGGACGAAAUUUACUUCCCCAAACGUGGACUAGGGAAGUCCCAUGGGAAAUCAUUAUCUAUUCCAUGACCCCAUGGGACUUCCUGCCUUAUAUAUACAUACCCCUCGAAUUACCUGAAGUGCGCAUUCACCACAAACUCUUAGCCUCUAGUGCAGAGCCAAAGGAAGCAUCAAUUGUCUCUAUUGGAAAGCUAGCAACGGAUCGAUGUCUGGCAUCAACUUCAAUUCAACUGAGACUCCAAGGUUAGUUUUGCAUUCGAAUAGUCAUAAUUUACAUCAAUUAGAUAGAACUCGUCAUUGUAUGCACAUAUGUAUCUUGUUCCUUAUGAACUGUUAGCAAUGAUCGGCUUUGCGGUAUGUUGAUUUCCAACCUAGGAUCAAGAACCUAUCUUGUUCAUGUGAGUACUCGACCAGACAAGUUGGACAGGGAUCGGCUGUAUUUUUUUUUUCUUUGUUUCUUCUAAUACACGCAGAGACUUUUGGUGACAAUUAACUGAAAAGGCAGCAUGAUUAAUGAAACUGGUGGGUUGUUUUGCCUUUGUUAUCAUGUAAAUCACUCUCCUUUGGAAUGUUCAUUAAUCUGCCGACCAUUUUGGUUCCAUAUGUUGUCGAUCGCUUGCUUUAUUUGCUUGUUUGGCAAAUGCUCAUUCUGAUCUUUCUCCGAUACAAUUAUGCCACUUCUUGCGUUACUUCUGAGCACAUGUUCUGGGCUUGAUUCUCGUGUGGCAUUCAUGCUUUCACAUAGACCAUUCUUUGUUUUGAUACUGCGAAGCUAAAGUAACCGAGACGAUUUUUCAUUCACUAAAGAAGAAGAACCCAAAAUAUAAUAAAACAGUGAAAUUAAAGCAGUCUCCAUCAAGAUUGAGACACAGAAGCCUACCGAAUGAAAAGGAGAGAGAGAGACUGAAAAUUCAAAUGCAAUUUACUAAUUUAUGAUUUAUUACAGAAUAAGAAAAUAAAGAAAUUAAGUAAUUUGAGUUGAUUUGUCAGUUUGGUCUCGCCGGUUUGAUUCCUCACAUGGAAUUGGGAAUUGGACUAGUUAUUUUCCGUUUCAAAUUUUUCGAAUCAAGAAUUAGACUAGUUCUUUUAGAAACCACCCAAUUAGCCAAUUCCCGGUGGUUCUUGGGUUGGACCGGGACCGAUAUACACUCUUAUGAACUACAUCCUCCUUUGGAGCAAAAGCAAUCUGUGCACUUGGCUUUUUAUGUUUGCUGGAGCUUUUGUUUGUGCGAUUUUUGCAAAAUCCAUCCAUAUCGAUCAUGAGUCAUUUAUUACUUAUUGCAAUUGAUCCGUUUAUACUAACUAUAUGGACUUUGUAUGUUGCCAAUGCUGAGCUCUAGUUUCUAAUUUUGGAUAAGCAUAUGGUAUGAUCGGUAGUCAUGCAAUUUGGGAGAGAUCGUCACCAUCAUAUUUCAUAUGUACAAUUUUAUUUAUGGAGUAAGCUUCCAUAAAGAUCAUACUAUAAGCUGGUAUUAUUUCUUUACCUCAUAAACUAAUUAUUUCAAAUUUCGUUGUUCAUUAUUGUAGACUCGGACAGCAAGAAGAUGCCAAAGCUAAAAAAUCGAAAGGUUUCUUGAUUUUUUGGCUUCAAUGGUCAUUUGCCCUUUUUGGAGCUAAGGAAUUGCUUUUAAAUAAGCAAAUAACUUUCAUCACAAUAGCUGUAGUCCUCAUCGUGCUCUUUGGCAUCCAUUCAUGGACAACACAAAGCGAUGGUGGAAAGACAUUCAUCAAUUUCACGUUUAUCAUGCUUGGAUGUGUCGUUGUUGGAGUAACGAUUGACUUGAUCGUAUUGAAUUCUUUCAUCAAGUGGGUUAUCUAUGGUUUGUUUCUUAUCAUGGUAGCUACAAAUCCCAACUACCGACAAAUUUACCAAGACAUGAAACAGAUCUUCAAGUCCAUGUACGAAGAAAUUUCUUCAAGACUCAAAAACUUAUUCAUUCAAUCACAAGGGAUUAUCAAAAAACUUUUGAAAAUUAUUAUUGCAAACCAAGAAGAACCAUCAAUGACUAAUAAUACUGUGACUAGUCCUAUUGGCGGUGAUGGAAGCAGAAUUGGGGAGAACAAUGUCUAGUUGAUCUUGUGGUGAAAUUCCACAUCCUUUAUCUCUCAUUUUCUCUUUGUAUUUCAAGAUGUUUGUAUGCUAUGUGAAAUGAAUAACUGAGCUUUUUUCUCCAUAUUAUUUGUUUGUACGAUAUGAAAAAGUGUGAUCAGAUGAUAUAUUAAAUUUGCAACUCUCGCAUAUUUGUCCAAGGUUGACAAUGAAAAUCUAUUUCCCAUCAAUUUUGUGCCCUAUGCUAUUCACUUUUACUUUUGUCCUGCCUGCAGUAUGAAUCCACAAUGUCCUUUCCCGGAAAAAUUGUGAUGAAAGACCCAGUAAUGUCAUGUUUACCGUUUGGGAUUUUAUAGCAUUUCAGAUGACAAAGGAAUCAUAAAUCGUGUUUGAGUUUUUUAAUAAUAAAAAGGUAAAAAAGUCACAAUGACCUAGCUUAUCAGAGGAGUCAUAUGUCCAUUUCGAACGUUUUGUUUGGGUCAUAUUUUUUAGUCCACCAAGGACAAUCUUUUAGAAUUGGCAAUCCGUUGUCGCAGCUCCACAAAGUUGCUCCUGCACUAUCGUAAGCAAAUUCGAACACGGGACUCUUUAGAAAAAGUCAAAAAGACCCAAGGCAUUUGACUAUUGUCACUUGUGUUAGAGAUCAGUACUGUGUUGAAGAUAAUCUCUAAUCCUUGGAACAGAGAGAAACAAUCGGAAAGGAAAAGUAAAAUCAGCCAGCCUCAGAUCAUGAUUUCAAAGAGACGUUGCAUCCAUCAUAUUUGAGAUCUUUGAAUUGGGUAAAUCUCACUCGAUAAAUGUCGAUGAUGCUUACCAUGACUGUUAUUCAAGUGUCCAAAAGGUGAAUCACUUCAUUAUUAAUUUUUGAGGAAUCCCAAUAAAACAAAAGCCAUUACACUCUAUUAACAUUUAUGGACUCACAAGGUAUAGGUUUUUGAACAAAAAAAAGGUAUAGGUUUGGAUGGUAAAGGAGCUCGGUCAUUCCCUUUUGAUGUUGGGUUCAAGUUUUAUUCAUAGCAUUUCACGCAUAAAAUCCUAAAUAUAUCUGACUAGUGUGGGUGAGUGCCCCCUAUCUCCCAAAGGGUAGACUAGUUGAGGUGUGUGAAGAUCAGUCUGAACACUAUGUGACUGCUAAAUCUUAAGAGAGUUAUACACUUAAUUACAAUAUGUCAUGGUUACAAUAAUUUAAUUGGAGAAUGAUGGAAAUUUUUCUGUGAUUAAACACGUUCACAAAAGUAGAUUUGAACGAAUCCAAAAAUUGGGAGAUUAUUUUAGGAUAUUUAAUAAAAAUGUGAGUUUUAUCAAUGAUCCAAUAUGACAAGAACUUGUAGCUCGAAAUAGAUACUGAAAGGGGGAGAUGAGAAAGGAGAGAACAAAAGCGGAGGAAGAAGGAAACACACCGGAAAUUGUGUGCUUUCCUAGACAUAUAUUCUCUCUCCUCUCCCUGUCUAGAAGGAAUCUCUCCCGAGCCUCCCUCGCCCCUUUCCACGUUGCUAUAUCACCGUCUUGUUUCUAGACUUCCCCAAUCUUUCUCGGUCGACACCAUCAACGAGAGUGGUUUUAUUUAAGGGCUAACACUAUUGAAAAACUUCAAAUCGAUAUACUUUUAAUAAAGAAAAAACUUCAAAUUAAUAUACUUUUAAUAAAUUUAUUCUAAAUGAAUUUUUUAAAUACUAAAAAUCUUAAAUUGAUAUAUUUAUAACAAAUUUACUCUCCGUUAGUUCUCAUUAUAUUUGAUUUAUAUAACGUAAAAUCACAAAUUAUUAUACUUGGUAUACCUGUUAAAUACCACGUAUUAUCCAACUCAGCAAUUUGAUGAUAAAAUUUAGCAAAAACUAAUAAAAGCAAUUUGUCAUAGUAUUAAUCCUUUAUUUAAUUGACCGGAUGAGAUAUCUUGUUCACCACUCAUUUGAUUUACUGUAUCCACUAUCCUCAAUUAUUGUAGGACCAUGCUCUUAAAAGUUACGCAAGAAAGGGGAAGCACAGCAGGUGUUUUUCAUUUAUCUUGCAAUUAACCCACCCCUUGUUCCUUUUCGAAGUAUUUAUAUAAAUCCUUUCAUUCAUACCAUUAACUUUCCCAAUUUUCAUAAAUAAAGUAUCUUGGAACAACGAAACACCUUCCUUUUGUUUUGUUUUGUUUUGUUUUGUUUUUUUAAAUUAUCUCAACAACUAGAUAAAAAAAAAUAAUAAAAAAGAGUCCAAUUGUCCAUUUCGACGAUAGGCGUAACUAACCUGCUAUUAAGCAUAGUAAUUUUUUUUAAUAACCUUUAGAACUUUUUCUUUUUUAAAAAAAAAAUUAAGGGCAAUGGAAGGGAGGUGUUUUUGGAGUAAUACACCUUCUACGUGGAAUUGCCACAACAUGGACAUUCUUCUGAGCAAAUUUUUUUAUCUGCUUAGCCUACCCUCCUCUUGUAUUCGAGUGGUAGGUUUUAAGGGGCGGGACGAUUUAAUUCCCGAUGGGUGCUCGUUUUAGGUCCGAUAAACUAAUUUUUGUUUUGGUAGAUAGUUUAAUGUUAAAUAAUUAGUCCUCAACAAUGGCGGACCUAGAACUUCACAUUAGGGGAGCUGGACAAUAAAUUUUAACCAAAAAAUUUACGAAUUAUAUUGUGAAACUAUAUGGAAAUAGACAUAAUUGAUAUGGCAUCUAAAACAUUCGGCAUCUUGGAAGUUUUUCUGGACACUAUCUUCAAGUUUUUGUUGAAUUUACUGAUUAAACGCUUCAAGUUCAUCAAAUACGAACCAAGCGUGUGUUGACACUAGUUCAAUGAAUAAAUACUUAAACAAACUUUAAAUCAAGCCACUUAAACCAAUACUCGGGGCGAGUGUUUGUACCUCGGAUGGAUAGUGGCUCGGGGGAAUCACGAUAGCCCGACAGUGGCUCACGGCCUAGUGGCCGGCGGGUGACCAGACUGUGGUAUCCGACACGGCAUGGCUAGGCUCCUCACGGACGUUGCCGGUGGUGAGAUAUCGCCAUUCACGAAGGUAAGGCUGCGGUGGUGAGUCCGUGGCCGAGGAUGGUGGUGCACGGCUAGGCCGCGAGGAAUGCCAAGGGAACCUGCGAAACCAAAGAAUCCGCAGCUGGUGUGGUUCGGUGAUCAGUGAAUUCACGGCCCAGGAUAGCUCGGCCGUGACGAGUGCCGCUCGGUGGGAUUCCUUGAUUGAACAACAAAGUCACGAUCUUCUCGUCUUCAUUUCCACGUCGUCUCUCCUUUGGGAACUCAGUCAACUUUCCAGCUUUCACACAACAAGAAGAGACGAAUUCCACGACUUCUCUUCCCCUUCUAUUAUUACUUCUCCACUACCUGCGUCUGUCUUCUUCCCUGCUACCACCAAACUCCAGUUUCUAUUUGCUUUCAAAACCAACGAGGGCAAGAUUGAGCGACAGUCGGGGGCACAUGUGGGAAUCGCGAGCAGCUUGCUAGCGAAAUAUCGACGGGCACUGAUAGAUGAGAGCGAUUCGGUGGUAAUUGCGGACUGCUGAUCACCACGGUAAGGACCUAUCUAGCUCGGUGAAGUCGCCGGAAACCGCUGCAGGAAGCUUACGAUGGCCGGAAAACCUCCAAGAGGGUGAAGCUCGUAAGCGCACAAAGGUUAGAUGCGGCUGGGGACAGAGACGAUUGCCGCUGCAAUUCUAUGCGUAGAGUCGUGUCUCCUCUGUAUCUUCCCUGCCGUCUCUCACCGUGGAGAACAUGAGUCCUCUUUUUCUGUGAAUCCUAUGUGAAGCGCCCCCCUCCUUUUUCUUGUGAACCUAUUUAGGCCCACGUCAUCGACUUCCUCUUAGGACCACCAUAUAUUUCCUUUCCCCUAUCAAUCAACUAAGCUUAUUUUUUUUUAUUUGACCGAAUCUUGCCUACACUCUUCACCUGUGACAUUUAUCCGUCCCUUUUAUAUUUGGUAUCCGCAAAGAAUCGUGCACGCAAGGAAAUUAAGCCCGGUUCGCGAAAAUUCUAUGAUAUAAUUGCCAAAUUACUUCUCAUAAUCUAUCCGAGUUUAGCACCUCACGUGCCUGAAGUGCAUUCAUUCAUUCAUUCAAUUCACGCUCAGCCAAGAAAAAAAAUAUCUUUAUGACAAAUCCACGUACGCUUGAAGUGAAAGAAGUGCAUUCAUUCAUUCAAUUUACUGCCAACUCUUUGCCUCUCGCGCAGAGCUGAAAGGAAACAUUAAUUCUCUUUGUUGGAAAGCUAGCACAAAUCGAUGUUUGAUUUCAAUUUUACUUCUAUUGAGGCUCAGAGGUUAGUUUUGCAUGCAAACAAUCAAAAUUUACAUUGAUUAAAUGGAACUUUUCAUUAUUUGCAUAUGUGUAUCUUGUUCCUUCCUUAUGAGCUAACUAUUAGGGGUUAAAACUCAAUUGUUUGCAUAUGUGUAUUAGGGGAUUAGUAGACUCUUGAUUAGAUAGAAACCGUUCCUUGUUUGCAUGUGUUAUUGUAUAUCUUGUUCCUUAUGAGCCACACAAAUCUUGUGCACGAUGAUGUCCAUGGUUUGUGUGUGUCCAAUGCCCUGGAUCAUGUGCCUAGUGCCGUGCAUCAUGUCCAUGGGCUCGUGUGCCCCAAGAUCAUCGUGUCCAUGGCUCGUGUGCCCAGUGCCGUGCAUCGUGUCAAUGGACCGUGUGCCCAUUUACCUUGCAUUGAAUCCAUGGUCGGUCCUGGUCUGGUUCUUGGAUUAGAACGGGAACAGCUGUAUUUUUUUUUUCUUUUUGUUUCUUCUAAUACGUACACAGACUUUUCAGAAUUAGGUGGUAAUUAGCUGAAAAGGCAACAUGAUUAAAUGAAACUGGUGUGGGUUGGUUUGCCUCGGCUAUCAUGUAAAUCACUCGUCUUUAGAAUGUUCAUUAAUCUGCUGACUAAUUUGGUUCCAUAUGUUGUCGAUCGCUUGCUUUAAUUGCUUGUUUGGCAAAUGCCCAUUUUGAUUUUCUCUGAUAUAAUCAUGAUGCCAUUCCUGAGUCUGUGUCCUGGGUUUGAUUCUCAUGUGGCAGUCAUGCUUUCACGUAGACCGUUCUUUAAUUUGAUACCAUGAAGCUAAAACUAGCAGAGGCGAUUUUCAUUGACUAAAGAAGCAGACUGGCACGUGGAAUGAAUAGAAGUACUCGAGAAAGAACCCCCCAAAAAAAAAAAAAAAAAAAGUGAAAUUAAAGCAGUCUAAAGAUCGAGAGAGAGGCACGCCAACCGAAUGGAAAAUAGACACAGAGACUGAAAAUUGCAUUACAAUUUACUAAUUUAAGAUUGGCUUCAGAAUAAGAAAAUAAAAAAAUUAAGUAAUUUGAGCCGGGCCGCUGGUCCGGUUCUGCCUUGGAAUUGAAAACCGGACAGAUUAUUCUUAAUUCCUUCGGGAAACACCCAAAGCUACUUGGUUCGGGCUGGUGCGAUCCAAUUCCUGAGUUGGAUCCAGACUGACGCACACCCCUAUCCUCCUUAGGUUAGGAGCAAUCAACACAUUUGGCUUUCUAUGUUUGUUAGAGCUUUUAUUUGUGUGGUCUUCGUAAAAUCCAUCAAUAUCGAUGAGUCAUUUAUUACAUAUUGCAACUGAUCCAUUUAGACUAAUUAUAUGGACUUUGCAUAUGGCCAGUGCUGAGCUCUAGCUUGUAAUUUUGGAUUCACAUAUGACCGGUAGUAAUGCAAUUUGGGAGAGAUUGCCACCAUCAUAUUUCAUAUGUACUACUCAUUGUACAGUUUUAUUAGUGGAUAAGUAGGCUUCCAUAAAGCAAGAUUUAAGCAUGCAGCUGGACAGCUCGUGAGCUGAUAUUAUUUAUUUGCCUAAUAAAUUAAUUAUUUCAGAUUUUUUUUCUUUAUAUGGAGGCUCAGAGAAUAAGAAGAUGCCAUCAUUGAAAAAUCGAAAAAUUUCUUGACAUUCUCGCCUAAAGGGUCAUUUGCUCUUUUAGGAGCUAAGGAUGUACUUUUAAAUAUGCAAGCAACUUUCAUCACGAUAUUUGCAGUUCUCAUUGUGCUAUUUGGCAUCAAUUCAUGACAACACAAAACAAUCGUGGAAAGACAUUCAUCAAUUUUGCGUUUCUCAUAAUAAGAUGCUGUGUUGUUGAAGUUGCAAUUGACUCAAUCAUACUAAAUUCUUACAUCAAGUGUGUUAUCUAUGGUUUAUUUCUUGUUAUGGUGGUUACAAAUCUUGAUUACUAACAAAUAUACAAAGAGAUGAAACGGAUCUUCAAGUGCAUUGGCGAGAAAUUUCUUUGAGACUCAAAUAUUAUUCAUUCAAUCACAAGAAACUAUAAAAAAAAAUAAUAACUUUUCAAAAUUAUUGUUGCAGACCAAGAAGAAUUAUUGGUGAAUAACGACGAUGUGACUCCAACCGUUGGUGGUGAUAAAGGCGGAGUCGGAGAGGAGAUUCUCUAAUUGAUCUCGUGAUGAAAUUCAACACAUUUUAUCUCUCUUUUUCCCUUUGUAUUUUAAGAUGUUUGUACGUUAUGUGAAUUAGAUGUUUGAGCUUUUUAGUCCGUAUUAUGUGUUUUUACAAAUAUGCAAAAGUGUGGUCAGACUAUAGUAGUUCUUCAUUGAUGCAUUAAAUUUGCAACUUCUGCAUAUUUGUCCAAGAUUGAUAGUGCAAAUUUAUUUCCAAUCAAUUAUGUGCCUAUGGUAUCACAUUUUUCCUCCCUGUAGUAUGAAUCCACAAUGCCCUUCCCCGCAAAAUUUGUGAUGAAAAACCCAAUCAUAUCAUUUUUAGUGUUUAGGAUUAUAUAGCACCUCAGAUGAUAAAGGAAUCACAUGUCAUGUUAGAGAUAAUUAAUAAUCAAAAGGUAAAAAGAUUCACCAUGACUUAGCAAUUAUCUUAACGUUAUCAUAGGAUUUAUAUGUCUAUUUCGAAUGCUUUGUUUGAGUAGUUAUUUAAUCCACCGAGGAUAAUCUUUCAGAAUCGGCAAUUUGUUGGCGCAGCUCCAAAGAGUUACAAGCAUCGGGAUCCUCUUUUUAGAAGUGAUUUGCUCGUGCACUAAUGUAAGCAAGUUUGAACACGCAAUUCUUUAGAAAAAUAAAAAAAGAACCGAGCAUUUGGCUGGGUCACUUGUUUUAGAGAUCAAUAUUGUGUUGAAGGUAAUCUCUAAUCCUUAGAGUAGAGAGACAAUCGAGGGGCAAAAAAAAAUGUCACCACCCUUGUAUCAUGAUUUCAAAGAGAUGUUACAUCCAUCAUUUUUUAGAUUUAACAGGUAAAAAGUUUUUGAGUUAAGUAAAACUCAAUAAAUUUCCAUGAUGCUUAUUAUGACUAUCAAGCAAGUGUCCAAAAGAUGAAUCACUCCAUUUUUUUUUUUUUUUUAAUUUUUGAGGACUCCCUACAUAAUAAAAGUGCAAAAAAAGUGGGAGAAUUACCUAAAAAAAUCGUAAACCUAUUAUAAUUGUGCCAAUUUAAACUUUUUAGUCAAUUCAAUCAUAAACACUUUGCAAUAAAAUUUCACAAAAAUAAAAAAAACACUUUGCAAUAAUGCCAAUUUAGUAUAUCCGAUCAAUUUUGACUAACUAGUGCUAACGUGGAUGCUAACUAGCACCGGUCAUUCAAUUUACGUUUUUUAAUAAUACUUUUCUUUUCUUUUUUAAUUUUUUAUUAAUUAUUAUUAUUUUUCUUCCUUUUUUGUUUGUUUGUUUGUUUGUUUGUUUUUUUUUUUUUUGUUUUUUUUUUUUGUUUUUUUAUAGUGGCCGGCAAGGCUAGCCUAGAUCUGGUCGAGGCCUGGGGUUGCGGGCGAGGGUAGCCUUGCCAUGGCCUCCCCAGCCAUGGGUGAAGGCGGCCUUGUAAGAGUUUUUCUAAUUGUGGACUACAUUAAUUGAUAUUGUAAUUUACCGUUUAACGUUUAUCGUUUUACGGGGUUUGGUCUAAGGUGAGAUGGUAGGUUUCUUAAUUAGUCUAAUAUGGGCUGGCUAGUGUGGGCCGAGUUGAGCCUGGCCCGUAAUGAGGGGGACUGGCUAGAAACUCUAUAAAUAGUGCUCAAGUCUCUCCUCUAACCAAAAUUCUCACAUAUAUUCUCACCUAAGGGGCGUUUACCUAACGCUACACGUGAGGAGGGGCCGCCUCAUUGAGCCAGUGAUUCAGAGGGCAAUAGAGGAGAAGGACUUGCGCGUGGAACAUUGUGUUUCCGCUUCCGCUUCAAGAACAAUGGAUUCCAAAACAGGUGCGUCAAUUCUUUCUACUUAAUCAUGCAUGUUUUUGUUCUAGUUAUGGAGAUCUUGGGGUUUGCGCAAUCUGUGUCUAACAUGUGGUAUCAGAGCCUCCAUAACCCUAGAACACGAACAUAAUUGAUUUUGCUCUAAUUUGUACGGAUUAGCACUAAUUAGUACGGAUCUUGCCAUAAUUUGUGAUUUUCGAGACUUUUAGUUCAAUACAAUUAAAAUUAAAUCACAAAUUCGGACUGGGCUCGACGAGACGAGCAAAACCGUGGGAGGCGCGUCGCCGAGGGAGGCCCCACGCGCCUCCACGCGCAGCCACGCGCCGCCGGGCGUCGAACACGCGCGCCCACGCGCGUCCACGCGCUCCUAUGCGCGGGGCACUGCUCGCGCGUGCAGCACACGCGGGCGCUGACGUCACGAUGACGUCAGCGACCCGGAUUCGGAUUCCGCACGCGACGUCAUGACGUCAGCGACCCGGAUUCGAAUUCGACCCGACGACCCAACCCGACCAAUUACCCGACCCGUGACCCGACCGACCCCGUUGACCUGACCCGACCCGGUCAGUCGUUGACCGAACUGGUAAACCGGUCGGACCGGGCGGCUGAACCAGAUGGUCGGACCGGUUUUGACCGGAUUUUGACGCCCGCGCGUGGGCUCCACGCGCCGCGCACUCAGGCGGCGCGUGCAGGCGCGUGGAUGCUCUGAUUUGCGCGUGGCCGGUGGCGUUGGACUCGUAUGAUUAUUUCCUACGUCAUGGUGUAUUUAUUUUAUAUUUUUAAUUAUUUUAUGGAUGUGAAAAUGCAUGCAAAGCCCUAAAUACGUGCUUUUUAGUGUAUUUUUUGCGUAUUUUUCUUGUAUUUUUCUGUGAUUUAGAAAAUACAGGUGCCGGGAUACAGGUAUGUUAUCACAUAAACAUUAUAAAAGUGUGAUUCAUUAAUAAAAAUUAAACUUUAUUGUAUUUUAUUAAUGAAUAAGGCAAUGUAAUUAGCAUGGCAUGUGAUUUGAGUGAUAUGAUGCCCCUAUUGAUAUUGCUAGUAUGAGUACCUAGAGGGGGUGAAUAGGUGCCUAAACAAUUUAUCGAUAUACGGAAGCGAUUUUUAACAUAUGAUAGAAAGUAAAUUCUCUCUUAAUUAACAAAAUGAAAUACGAUUGAGGUAGAGAGAGUGAGGAAGAGAAAAUUGAACAUAGGAUUUAUAGUGGUUCGGCUUAUUCCAAGCCUACGUCCACUCUUCCUCACUGACAGCCCACCGGCUGGAUUUCACUAUGAUCAAAAGAGAAGUUACAGCACAGCUUUGCCUUGAUUCCACAGUGUAGAUGUUUUACCACACCUCCUCAAGGUCUCUCACAAAUAUAGACUCUCUUUUGUAUACAAGUAUUCGCUCAAAGGAUUUAUCUAAACAAAUAGGAGCUUCAGACUUUGGAAUUCUUCUAUCGUGCACGCCUCAAACAACUAAGAACGUCUUCCUUAUAUACUCCUUUAUGCCAUCAUACUCGUUGGCACUUACCAAAGGAAUUCCUCCAAUCUACCCGUUGGACGGAAUCAAUUAGGAAGAUUGUUCGAGCUAUUGAAGGAACGUGUUGAUAGCCCAUCAAUCAUGUUCGCCCAUACAAUCAGGAUCUCGGUUUCCAUAAGUAGAACCUUCCAAUAAUAUUUAGACAAUCAUCGAAUCUUCAGUCAUUGAAUCAAUCUUGAUCAAUCAAAGGAUUCUGUUACGUCUUCUCCAGCUACGAGAUCUUCUCCAGAUGAUAAGGUUAAAUCCUGAACAAAACAACAAGUUCUGGAUAACCUUUCUUCAACGGAUUAGAGACUGUCAAUGAGGAUAGACUUUGAGUCUUGAGUCUGGCUAUCCGGAAGUCUUCAGACUUUAAAUAACAGAGUCUGCAGACCUUCAGACUAGACUGAUGGAAACGUUUUGUCAACUUCAAAACACUUCAAGAAGAUUUCUCCAACAAUCUCCCCCUUUUUGAUGGUGACAAAACUUUCCUGCAGAUUUGGAUAACUAUGACCUGCAAAACAUUUCUCAAACACAUAUGCAUAUCUUAUAAAGAUGAAUGGCUAAAAGAUUAACACUAGAAUCUGCAACCACAGAAAAUAAGUUAGUCUAGUAUAUAAUAAAACCAUCCAUAAGAUAUCAAUACUUGUUAAUAGAAGCAGUCAAGUCCAAGUCUAGUUCAGAUCUCAUCCAGACACAAAACAAAGUCAAAGUCUGUCAAAAACAGUUAAACAACAACACAAUCCAACAAACAGUUAGAAAAUGAUUGAAAGUUUUUGAUCAAAUCAUGCAUCUCUCCCCCUUUUUGUCAUAAUUAAAAAGGAUGAGAUGAAGUCUUGGGAAUGCGGACAAGCUGGAAAUCUUUCAUAGACUGAACGAUGCCUUCCAGCCUUUUAAAGUCUUCCUUUAGCUGUACAACCUCCUCACUCUUGGCAUUGGCCUGAUUAUGAAUAGAGAGGGCUUGCAUCUUAUCAUUCAAUGAACAGGAAGAAGCUUGACUUUCAUUCUUCAAACUUUGAACUUCGCAUCCCAAGGCAUAAAUCUGACCUUUCAUCUCCAAGAGAAUAUCCAUGAUUCUGCGAAAAUCUGCUCCAUUAUCAGUCUGAGUACUUACUUCGGCUCGAUCUGCAGAAGAUGGUAGAUCAGCAUAAUCUUGCAGAUUUGGCGAUGACACUUCAUGACCUUCUUCUGGAAACUGAGAUGCAUAAACAUCUUCUGGGUCUGCAGGCGAGCGACUGACUCCUUCACUUGCAUCAGGAUAUGAAGAUGUCACUCCUUUCUCCUGAUCUCCCCCUGUUUCCAUGCCUACAGGUGGAGAAGAGAUUUCCUCAGGUUCUCCUUCUUCUCUUCUUUCUUCUUCAGGUCUUUCUUCCUCUGCUUCUUGCUCUGCUUCUCUUUCUUCUUCUUCCUUCUCCUCUGCUUCUUUCAUCUUUUGUUCCGAUUCUUUCUGUGGAACAGGACGACCUAAAUUCUUCAAAGCCAUUGCAGAGAUGGUGAUGUCUUCGUCAUCAUCUUCAUCCUCAACGAGGAGAGCUCUUCUUCUCUUUGAUGAAGCAGCCAUGGGCUCCUUCCCUUUUCUCUUAGCAGCAGAAGAGAGUUGAUGAGAUUUGGCAGGAGUCUUCUCCUUGAAUUUCUCCAAUUCCUUGCUCAGUUCCUUCAGACGCAUUUUGGUCACCAUUUUCAGUCCUACCACCAUAUGAUCGCAUGAUCGAACACAAAAGAUUUGCGGAGGCUGAAUAUUCAGAUGUCUGAAUAACUUCGUAACAAGGCUUGGGUAAGGGAGUUGACCUCUGUCCUUCAUCACUGCUCUAUACAUGUGAAACAUGACAGUAUGAGGGAGAGAAAACUUCUUACCACAGAGGAUGGCAUACAUCAACUUUGCCUCAGAGCUUGAAACAUCAGUUUUGGAAGUUGAUUUCGGCCGAAGGCAAUUGAUCACAAUCUUGUGAAGCAAGAUGUUGAAUGCAUUCAUCCGUGAGUAGGUGAUUUUCUCAUCUGUUCUCCUGUCCUUCACCAGUUCAAGUGUGGCCCGAGCAAUGGAAACUUUGAUUGGUUGAUAUCUGCCUCUCUCAACUUCUAACACAUCUGCCAGCAUAUUCAUAUCCACAACAUAGUCUUGUUCUUUAACGCUGAAGGAGAAUCUAUUUGCAUCCAAAAAGCUAAGAUUUGAAUAGAAAUAUGCAGUCAAUUAAGCAUAAGCCUCAGUUGAGUCAGAGCAAAACUUUUCAAGUUGAAGAUAACUGAACUUUUCCCUCAAGUUUACUUUCACAGCAUCCAGAAAAUCAAAGUCCACACUCCUAGGGUUUAUUACCCCAUGCUUCAGCAAUUUCGAGUACAGAUCCUUUUGUUCCUUUGAUCUGAACAAAUCUCCCCUUUUUUCCUUGAAUUUCAGCUGCUUCAGUUGAAAUAGACUGAACAGAUUGUCAUCGUCAUUUCCAUCUACAGGAUUCGGUCCCCAGUCACGAGGAUCACUUGGGAUAUUCGCAAGGGUUUCCUCAGCCACCCCUUUACGAGCGAUUCCCAAACUUUCCAUUUUUCGCAGAAAGAUAUAUUCGUUCCUAUAUCCUUUGUCUCUAAGAAACUCAUCAACAUAGUUCAAAGGAGUAUGAAUUCCUUUUAAGGCACGAUAUAGCUUGUAAAUAAAAGCGGGCUUUUGAACUCUUACGGGGUCUGCAUCCUCGAUGAUUUCUUCUUGAAGCUGAUGAACAACGCCUUGAGGACUAGAUGGAGGAGACUGACGCUGCUGAGAAUGUUGUGGGCUCGGUUGCUGAUCUGGAGUAACUUCAUCUUCAGUAAGAUCGAAGUGUGUAGGCCCCUCACUCAUUCUCUGUGGUCCCCUGCUUGCGAUUCUUGAGGACUUUCGUGAAGAUGACAUCUUUCUCAGUGUUUGGAAGAUUCCUUACUUGACUUUCCCAGAAAAGAUGACAACUUUUUGAAGAUUGAGCGAAGAAGACAAACGGGAAUUGAGGAUCGAUGCUUUCUAGGGUUUUUGAGAGAAAAGUGAAUAGAAAAGUGAAGAGAAAUCGACAGUGCACAAUCGGUUAAAAAGAAGAGUAAACGAACCGUUACAAAGGAAAUGAAAAUAUGCCUUUUCAAAAUAACUGUCUUUAUCCGCAAAAAUAGCUAUUUCAAAAAUAACUUCCCUUUUGAAAAUGAAUCGAUGCAAUAUUUACGUUAAUUAAAUAUAGCAACAAUUUAAACAUAGCCUGAUGAUUGUACCUUUUCAAGAUAAGAUUGGAGAGAGAGAAAGACUUACAGUCUGAAGGUCGAGCCAAGACAGUAGAUAAAGUCUUGUUAGCCUGAGUCUGACAGUCUUUAGACUUUGAUAUCCUCAUACCUCAAAAUGUUGAGUCUGGACCGUAUAUACUCAAAUUGAUUUUUCUCCAAAGGCUUUGUGAGUAUAUCAGCCAGUUGAUUCUUUGAGUCAACAAAUUGAAUUGAAACAUCUCCAUUUUGAACAUGAUCUCUAAUAAAGUGAUGUCGAAUCUCUAUAUGCUUUGCUCUUGAGUGGAGAAUUGGAUUUUUGGUGAGGUUGAUAGCGCUGGUGUUGUCACAAUUAAUCUCCGUGCAUGAGUCUUCAAUUUCAAAAUCUCUUAGCUGUUGUUUUAUCCAUAGAAUUUGCGAACAGCAGCUUCCAAGAGCUACAUACUCUGCUUCUGUUGUUGAAAGAGACACAGUGAUUUGUUUCCUUGAAAACCAAGACACUGUCCUGCUUCCAAGCAACUGGCAAGUUCCUGAAGUGCUCUUUCUAUCAACUCUGCAACCGGCCAGAUCUGCGUCUGAAUAUCCCAGAAGAUUAAAGUCUCCCUUCUUAGGAUACCAAAGACCGAUGCUUGAUGAUGAAGCAACGUAUUUAAUGAUGCGUUUCACAGCACUGAGAUGAGAUUCUCUAGGAUCUGAUUGAAACCUAGCACAGAUGCAAACACUCAACAAAAUAUCAGGUCUAGAGGCAGUAAGAUAAAGAAGUGAUCCAAUAAUGCUCCUGUACAGCUUUUGAUCAACUUUCUUCCCUUCUUCAUCUUUGUCUAUCUUUAAAGAACUUGACAUUGGUAUGUUGACCUUUUUGCACUUUUCCAGUCCAAACCUUUUGACAAGAUCAUUAACAUAUUUUUCUUGAUAAAUAAAAGUUCCUUCCUUCAAUUGUUUUACUUGAAGACCAAGAAAGAAUGUUAACUCUCCCAUCAUACUCAUUUCAAACUCAUCCUGCAUAGACUUUGAAAAUUUCUUGCAAAGACUUUCAUUAGAGGAUCCAAAAAUAAUAUCAUCCACAUAUAUUUGAACAAGUAAGAAACUUUUGUUUUCCUUCUUGAUAAAUAAAGUCGUAUCUACUUUACCUUUGACAAAACCAUUUUGUAUUAGGAACUUACUUAAUCUGUCGUACCAAGCUCGAGGUGCUUGCUUUAAACCAUACAAAGCCUUUUUCAGUCUAAAAACUGAGUCUGGCUUCUUUGGGUCUUCAAACCCUGGUGGUUGUUCCACAUAAACUUCCUCAUGGAUAAAUCCAUUUAGGAAGGCGCUUUUGACGUCCAUUUGGAAUAACCUGAAAUUUUUAUAACAAGCAAACGCAAGUAAUAGUCGAAUAGCUUCUAACCUUGCCACUGGAGCGUAAGUCUCAUCAUAGUCUAUUCCUUCUUCUUGCGUAUAUCCCUUGGCCACGAGUCUUGCUUUAUUUCGUACGACUUUUCCUUUCUCGUUCAUCUUGUUUCUGAAAACCCAUUUAGCUCCAAUAACAGUUUUACCUUUUGGUUUGGAUGUCAAUUCCCAGACAUCAUUUAUGCUGAACUGUCUGAGCUCUUCUUGCAUAGCUUCAAUCCAGCUUUCAUCAGAUAAAGCUUCUUCUAUGCUCUUUGGUUCAAUUUCAGAAACGAGUGCCACAGCACUAGACUCUUCUCGCCUUUUGGAUCUGGUGCGAAUUCCUUCAUUCAUUUCGCCGAUUAUAAGAUCUUUGGGAUGACUGGAUUUAUGCUUCCAGUUACUCGUUGAUUUGUCUAAUUGAUGAUCUCUCUCUUUGAUUGAAUCUUCACGAACAUCCUUAUUCUGGUUUUCCAGAGUCUGAGAUGCUUCUUGAGUUGUAGACUUUGGAGGGUCUGGAGCAGGUUCAGACUCUUCUUGAUGAGUCUGACUUGAUUCAUCUUGCGUUGAGUCUUGAAAUUUGACAUUCAUUGACUCCUCCACAGACUGGCUCUUCUUGUUAUAGACUCUGUAGGCUUUGCUUGAUGUAGAAUAUCCAAGGAAGAUACCUUCAUCUGAUCUUUCUUCAAACUUACCAACUCGAUCUUUUGCAUUUUUCAGUAUAAAACAUUUGCAACCAAAUACAUGAAAGUAUGAAACAAUAGGCUUCUUUUCUUUGAAUAACUCAUAAGGGGUUUUCUGAAGAAUAGAUCUUAAGAAGACUCUAUUGAUGAUAUAGCAUGCUGUUGAAACAGCUUCAGCCCAAAAUUGAGAAGAAAUUUUACUUUCAAUUAAAAGAGUUCUAGCCAUUUCUUGAAGAGAUCUGUUCUUUCUUUCCACAAUUCCAUUUUGUUGAGGAGUAUAUGGAGAGGAAAACACAUGCUUACAGCUAGAUUCAUCACAUAAUUUUGUAAAAUCUUGAUUUUCAAAUUCGCCUUCAUGAUCUGUUCUUAUACUAGAGGUAACACAUCCUUUUUCAUUUUUAACCAAUUUAGCAAAUUUUUCAAAAUACGAAAAGGUUUCGGACUUACUUGCAAGGAAAUAUACCCAAGUAAAACGGGAGUAAUCAUCAACAAUUACUAGGCAAUACUUCUUACCCCCAAUACUUUGAGUUCUGGUUGGUCCGAAGAGAUCCAUAUGCAGCAACUGUAGUACAUGAUUUGUAGAGACAUAAUUAAUUGGCUUAAAAGAAUUUCUUACCUGCUUUCCCAGAAUACAUGGAGUGCAUGAAUCAGUCUUUUGGUAAGGCAAUCUGGGUAGUCCUCGAACAAGCUGUUUUGAAGAGAUUUUGGCUAAUUGCUUCAUGUUGACAUGACCAAGCUUUUUGUGCCAUAAGCUUGCUUCAUCUUGAAUUGAGAUAAGGCAUUGCGAUUCAUUUGGUUUCACAUCCAGAAGAUAGAUAUUUACAUGUCUUCGACCCAUGAAAGACUGAGUAGAGUCUUUACUGAUUCCAGAACAUGUUCCUUCUUGAAAGAAGAUCUUGAAACCAGUAUCACACAAUUGACUAAUGCUGAGAAGAUUGUAAUUGAGUCCUUCCACUAAGGAAACAUUACUUAUUGUGAGAGUUCCAAUUUUCACGGUUCCAAAUCCCACAAUACUUCCUUUGCUGUUUCCUCCAAAUGAAACUUUUCCACCAUUUACUCGAGAAAUCUUUAUAAAGCAAUUUGAGUCUCUUGUCAUGUGUCUUGAGCAUCUGCUGUCAAGAUACCACUUUACCUGUUUCUUGACGGAGACCUCAAAUUCACUGUCUGAGUCUGAUCCUGAGUCUGAUCCAGAGUUUGAGUCUGAUUGUGCCAUCAGACAUAGAUUGGCAUAUUCAUUAUCACUUUCUUCACACUCAAUAUCACUCCAGGUUUCGGCUUUGAGAGCUUUUCGAAAUUUUUCAGCUUUUCCUCUCUUCUUCUUCAGAAGAGGACAGUUGGGUCUGAUGUGUCCCUUUUUCUUGCAUUCAAAGCAGACUACAUCUUUAUUUGGUUCCUCAUCAUCAACAGACUUGGUCUGCUGUCUUUGAAAGCUUUGUUUCUUUGAGUUGAACCUUCUUCCUUUUCUAUUUAGUUUUCUGAAUCUUCUUAUCAUGAGAGCAAGCUUCUCAUCGUCCAUAUCAUCUUCAGAAUCUGUAUCAUCAGAAUCAUCAUUUGAUUUUAAUGCAAUGGAUUUCUUACCUUUUGGAUCUUCAUCUUCAUUGAUCCUUUCCACUUCAUAGGACUGAAGAGUUCCAAUCAGCUCGUCGACAGAUAGUGGCAUGAUUCUCUGCGUCUCUCUUAUCGAAGUCUUUAUGUGAUUCCAAUCCCUGGAGAGUCCACGCAGUAGCUUGUUUACCUUCAUGGGAUCAGAAGUUGGUUGACCUUGAUUUUCAAGACCAUUCACAAUAUCUGUAAAACGACUAAACAUGUCAGAUAUUGAUUCUCCUGGUUUCAUUCUGAAGGCUUCGUAUUGACCGAGAAGAAUGUUGAUUCUAGUUUCCUUCACUCGAUCUGUUCCUUCAUAGGUGAUAUGCAAUCUGUCCCAAACUUCUUUUGCUGUACCACAAGAAGAUAUUCUAUUAUAUUCAGUUGGUGAUAAAGCACAAUAUAAGGAGUAAAUUGCUUUUGCAUUGAGUGUCUGUCUCUUGAUUAUUUCUUCCUGAGACAUUCCGCUGGUUUCUUCAGCUUCUUUUCCUCUUUCAGAGACUGAUGCAGUGGUAGGAGUAAUUCCUUUUUCUACAACAUCCCAUUCCAGAGGAUCCUUUGAUCAUAGGAAAGCUUUCAUCUUGUUUUUCCAGAUGUUGUAAUCCUUUCCAUCAAAGUAGGGUGGUCUGGUAUUGCUUUGCCCUUCCAUCAGCCCUGGUGCUAACAUACUAGCCAUGGAUCUUUAACUCUGAAGUAAAACACUUCAAACAAAGUGAGUACACGAGCUCUGAUACCAAUUGAUAUUGCUAGUAUGAGUACCUAGAGGGGGUGAAUAGGUGCCUAAACAAUUUAUCGAUAUACGGAAGCGAUUCUUAACAUAUGAUAGAAAGUAAAUUCUCUCUUAAUUAACAAAAUGAAAUACGAUUGAGGUAGAGAGAGUGAGGAAGAAAAAAUUGAACAUAGGAUUUAUAGUGGUUCGGCUUAUUCCAAGCCUACGUCCACUCUUCCUCACUGACAGCCCACCGGCUGGAUUUCACUAUGAUCAAAAGAGAAGUUACAGCACAGCUUUGCCUUGAUUCCACAGUGUAGAUGUUUUACCACACCUCCUCAAGGUCUCUCACAAAUAUAGACUCUCUUUUGUAUACAAGUAUUCGCUCAAAGGAUUUAUCUAAACAAAUAGGAGCUUCAGACUUUGGAAUUCUUCUAUCGCGCACACCUCGAACAACUAAGAACGUCUUCCUUAUAUACUCCUUUAUGCCAUCAUACCCGUUGGCACUUACCAAAGGAAUUCCUCCAAUCUACCCGUUGGACGGAAUCAAUUAGGAAGAUUGUUCGAGCUAUUAAAGGAACGUGUUGAUAGCCCAUCAAUCAUGUUCGCCCAUACAAUCAGGAUCUCGGUUUCCAUAAGUAGAACCUUCCAAUAAUAUUUAGACAAUCAUCGAAUCUUCAGUCAUUGAAUCAAUCUUGAUCAAUCAAAGGAUUCUGUUACGUCUUCUCCAGCUACGAGAUCUUCUCCAGAUGAUAAGGUUAAAUCCUGAACAAAACAACAAGUUCUGGAUAACCUUUCUUCAACGGAUUAGAGACUGUCAAUGAGGAUAGACUUUGAGUCUUGAGUCUGGCUAUCCGGAAGUCUUCAGACUUUAAAUAACAGAGUCUGCAGACCUUCAGACUAGACUGAUGGAAACGUUUUGUCAACUUCAAAACACUUCAAGAAGAUUUCUCCAACACCUAUCACUAAAGUUAAAUCACAUGUAUAUGAUGUAUGCGAGAUGUAAAGAUUAUAUCCCUGGGAUGAGAGAGUUUCAAGGAUUCAAUUGAGUUGUGACCGCCAAAGUGGCACACUUGGUUGAGUUUGAGAAAUUUCGAUCUCGUAUAUUGAUUGGGAUGUCUCCUGGUCUAAUGCAUAGUCAUACUCCCAAAGGAAGUGAUUAUGUAUUAGUUCAUGGAGGGAUACAUGAUAGUGUGGUGGAGGAGUGACCGAUCCUAAUGGUUCAUAUACCCAAAGGUGAUGAAUUCACGAAGAUUGGAAUACAUUCUCAUAACCCUUAUCAUGUGGGGAGUGUACAAUUGCUUGUCAUGUAUUCUGCCCAAAGGUGAUUAUGUGAUUUUGCAUGUAACUCUCUGGAUGUGUACUUGUGCGUCAAGUUGCACAAUGCUCACAUAAUGCUAAUUGUAUAUAUUGCUUGUCUUUCAGUCACCUUUUCUGUAAAUGGUAACUCCGUCACCAUUGAGGUUCUUGCUGGUUCGAAUUUUAAGAGAUGGAGAGAUGAUUUUCUGUUUGCUAUGGAAAUGGCAGAUGUUCAUAUGGCUCUUACUAUUGAUCGGCCGGCAGUUUUGACUGCUGAGAGUACAGAGGCUCAAAAAGCAACUUUUGCUGCCUGGGAAAAGAGCAAUAGAAUUUGCUUGCUAUCCAUGAAGCGUUCCAUUCAGGAACACUUGAAAAGUGGUUUGCCUGCAGACUGCAAUGCUAGGCAAAUGAUGGAAGCUUUGAUGGCUAGAAACCGUGUGUCGCCUAAUGCUGAGAUAGGGACACAUAUGCAAACACUUUUUACUAUGAAAUAUGAUGGUUCUGGUCGAGUUAGAUAUUAUGUUAUGAGGAUGGUUGAUUUGCAAACAAAACUUCAGGUUCUCAAUGUUGAAAUUCCUACUGCUUGCAUUGUCCAUCAAGCUCUAAAUACUCUUCCUCCUGAUUUUGGGAUUAUUAAGACCAAUUAUAAUUCCCAAGAUGAAACCUGGUCUGUUAAUGACCUGAUUGCAAGGUUGGUGGCAGAGGAAGAGAAAUUAAAGAAAGAUAAAGGACAUAUUGCUCUUUAUGCUUCUAGUUCUGCUAGUGACAAGGGUAAGAAGGUGAAAACUUAUACCCAUAAAAGCAAUUCAGAAGUUGCUGGUCCUUCCAACAACAAAGGAAAUUCUGAAGGAGCAGGUCCUUCUAACACUCUGGGUCCUAAGAAGGUAAUCAUCAAGAAGGAUGGUGUUCUUUGCUACUUUUGUAGGGAGAGAGGACACGUGAAGAAAUGUUGUAGCAAGUUUAAGGCUUGGUUGUCUAAGAGAAAUAAGAGAGAGCCUAAAGGUAAUGAUUCUUUGGCAUUAGUUUAUGAAUCCAAUCUAUCUGUAGUUCCAACCAAUUCUUGGUGGCUAGAUAGUGGUGCAACUAAUCAUGUUGCAUUUACUAUACAGGGGUUCAUAAACCGAAGGACGCCAACUCAGGAUGAAUCAAAGCUCACUGUUGGAAACAACGUUGGAGUUGACGUUGAGUUCGUGGGAGAUGUUAUUUUGAUUUUAGAUUCUGGUUUUCGGAUGGUGUUAAGAAACACUUUUUACAUACCUUCUUUUAGGCGGAAUUUAGUUUCUAUGUCUUGUUUGGACAUGUGUGGAUACUCUUUUGAAAUAAAGAGUAAUACUAUUUCCAUGUUUUUUUAUUCAAAUAAGAUUGGGUGUUGCAAUUUAUUCGAUGGAUUAUAUCGAUUGAGCUUAUCUCCCAACGACAUAUACGUUGCUUAUUCUGCUGAAAAGGUUGUUUCCAAACGACCUCUACCUAAGGAACAGUCUUAUGCAUUGUGGCAUAAACGUCUUUGUCACAUCUCUAAAGACAGAGUAAAAAGGCUUAUAAAGGCUGAUAUCUUGCCUACUCUUUAAGAUGAUCAAGAGACUUGCGUAGACUGUUGCAGAGGUAAGAUGACUAAGAUAAAGAAAAAAUAUGCUGUACGAAGUUCAGACUUGUUGGAGGUUAUUCACACUGAUAUUAGUGGACCAUACAUGGCUACUUUGUGCAGAAAUUUUUAUUUCAUCACAUUUAUUGACGACUAUUCCCGAUAUGGAUACUUAUACUUGAUUAAAGAAAAGUCCGAGUCUCUUGAUAAAUUCAAGAUUUUUCGGACUGAAGUGGAGAAACCAUUGGGAAAAGUUAUUAAGAUUGUCAGAUCUGAUCGCGGUGGUGAGUAUUUUGGUAGGCACGGUGAUGCCGGUCAACUUAAAGGGCGGUUUGCUAAAUACUUAGAGGAUUCUGGGAUAAUAGGUCAGUUUACUAUGCCCGGAAGUCCUGAACAAAAUGGUGUAGCUGAAAGGCGGAAUCGUACUCUUAUGGACAUGAUGAGAAGUAUGAUAAGUAGGACCAAUUUACCUAAUUUUCUGUGGGGAGAAGCUUUGAAAACAACUCUUUAUAUUCUAAAUCGUGUUCCUACUAAAGCAGUUCCAUUGACCCAUUUUGAGUUAUGGACUGGACGUAAACCUAGCUUAAAUCAUUUUAAAGUUUGGGGAUGUCCAACAGAAGUGAAGUUAUAUAAUCCAACAUUGAGUAAACUGGAUUCCAAAACUACUCGAUAUUACUUUGUGUCUUACCCAGACCAUUCAAAGGGGUAUCGCUUUUAUAACCCUAAUGGAGGUACAAGAAUUGUGGAAUCUCAGACUGCAAAAUUUCUAGAAUUUGAUGUAGCUGAAAAGGGUAGCUGCUCACAAGCUAUCGAAGAUGAUAGUAUGGUGGGGAUUACUGGAUCUCUGUCUCAUCCUGUGCAGACAAUUAUGGAGCCUCUUGCGCCUCAAAAUGAGCCUAUUGUGGCCCAUGAUCCUAUUGUUGAGACAGUUCCUGAUGAAAUUCCUCAUGCCCCUCAAAUUCAGAAUGAGGUUGACGUAGCUCCACUCAGAAGAUCAACUAGAGAAAGACGUUCAGCUAUACCGCCAGACUAUCUAGUCUACCUGGGAGAGCAUGAUUAUGACAUAGGCUGUGUUGUUGAUCCCGUGACUUAUACUGAAGCCAUCUCAUGUCAUCAAUCAGAUUUGUGGUUAGAUGCAAUGAAAGAUGAGAUGCUAUCUAUGAAACACAAUGGUGUUUGGGAGCUUGUUGAAUUGCCUGAAGGUUGUAAACCUAUUGGCUGCAAAUGGGUAUUCAAAACCAAAAGGGAUUCCAAAGGAAAGAUUGAAAAGUUUAAAGCCAGACUGGUAGCUAAGGGUUUCACUCAAAGAGAAGGAAUAGAUUAUGAAGCAACAUUUUCUCCAGUUUCUUCUAAAGAUUCCUUUAGAGUGAUCUUAGCAUUGGUAGCUUAUUACGAUAUGGAGUUACACCAGAUGGAUGUUAAGACUGCUUUUCUAAAUGGAGACCUUGAUGAGGAGGUUUAUAUGGUGCAGCAAGAAGGUUUUGUAGCAGAUGACUCAGGUCAGCUUGUUUGUAGAUUGAAAAAGUCUAUUUAUGGCCUUAAGCAAGCUUCUAGACAGUGGUAUUUCAAGUUUCAUAAUGUUGUUACUUCAUUUGGUUUUAUUGAGAACAAAGUAGAUCAGUGCAUAUACACCAAGGUCAGUGGGAGGAAAUAUAUUUUUCUCAUACUUUAUGUAGAUGAUAUCUUGCUUGCUAGUAGUGACAUUGGUUUACUGCAUGAGACAAAGCGGAUGUUAUCGAAAAAUUUUGACAUGAAAGACCUUGGUGAUGCGUCUUUUGUUCUUGGCAUUGAGAUCAAUAGGGAUCGCUCAAGCCGUUCAUUGGGUUUAUCUCAGAGGGCAUAUAUUGAUCGCACUUUAAAAAGAUUCAAUAUGCAGGAUUGCAAACCAGGAAUUGCUCCUGUUGUUAAGGGUGAUAAAUUGAGUAUUUCACAAUGCCCUAAUUCAGAUUUUGAGAAAGCUCAAAUGAAGGAUUUGCCUUAUGCUAGUGUGCUUGGAAGCAUCAUGUAUGCUCAAGUUUGCACUAGGCCAGAUAUUGCUUUUGCAACAGGGCUUCUAGGCAGAUAUCAGUCUAAUCCAGGACGCGAUCACUGGAUUGCUGCCAAGAAGGUUUUAAGGUACUUAAAAAGAACAAAAGAUUAUAUGCUGAUUUAUAAAUAUGUUCCAGACCUGCAACUAGUAGGGUAUUCAGAUGCAGAUUUUGCUGGUUGUCAAGAUGAUAAGAAAUCAACGACUGGAUACAUAUUUAUGUUGGCAGGAGGUGCAGUAUCAUGGAAGAGCGAGAAACAGAAAUCCAUAACUUCUUCAACCAUGCAAGCGAAGUUUGUAGCAUGUUUUUCAGCUGCUACUUAAGCUAUUUGGCUCCGGAACCUCAUUAGAGAGUUAUCAGUUUAUGGUUUUGUAGAUAGACCCAUACAGUUAUAUUGUGACAAUAACUCUGCAGUGUUGUUUAUUAAUAACAACAGAAGUUUAAAGGGGUCUAAACACAUGGAGGUCAAGUUUUUGACUAUAAAAGAAUCAGUACAGAAUGGUGACGUUGCGGUAGAUUAUAUUCAUACAGAUGAUAUGGUUGCAGACCCACUAACUAAAGGCCUACGCCCGUGUGUUUUUUAUCGACAUGUCAUUAGUAUGGGCCUAGGAGCAUCUUGGGAUGCUGUUAUUUAGUGAGAGCUGUGUUUUUAUUUUUCUUUGAAUAAAGUUUACAUCUGUUUUGUUACAAUUUAGUAACACUUUGAUAUAUAUAUAUAUAUAUAUAUAUAUAUAUAUAUAUAUAUAUAUAUUGUAAAAGUCUCAAGGUAUUACUUAAACCUUGAGUGAAGGCUAGGGGCAUCCGGGCAUCCGGUUAUUAGCCUUGUGCAUAUGUCUUGUAAUACAUAAAGAAAGGUUAACCGUAAGGACAAGACAUAUGUGGGUUCAUUGGAACCAUAAAGCAUUCUCUAGUGGCACAAGUUUUUGUGACACCUAAAGUUAAGAGAAUGGUGACUGACAAAUGGGGUCCCUCUAUGAGAGAUGUUAUCCAUUUGCCACACUACCAUAUUGAAUCCAUAUCAAUAAAGUUGAGAGCACUUGUGACCAUGGAAGGCUCUGUGUGUAUACAUGCAGUUACCGCCAUGAUUCGGUGUUUGAGGCUUUAUGGGAUAGGAUUGACUAUUAAGAAUUAUCUCUGGACCAAUGUGCGCACAUACAGUACGAUUUCAAUUAAUAUAAUCCAAGUGGGAGAAUGUAAGAGUUUUUCUAAUUGUGGACUACAUUAAUUGAUAUUGUAAUUUACCGUUUAACGUUUAUCGUUUUACGGGGUUUGGUCUAAGGUGAGAUGGUAGGUUUCUUAAUUAGUCUAAUAUGGGCUGGCUAGUAUGGGCCGAGUUGAGCCUGGCCCGUAAUGAGGGGGACUGGCUGGAAACUCUAUAAAUAGUGCUCAAGUCUCUCCUCUAACCAAAAUUCUCACAUAUAUUCUCACCUAAGGGACGUUUACCUAACGCUACACGUGAGGAGGGGGUGAUUCAGAGGGCAAUAGAGGAGAAGGACUUGCGUGUGGAACAUUGUGUUUCCGCUUCCGCUUCAAGAACAAUGGAUUCCAAAACAGGUGCGUCAAUUCUUUCUACUUAAUCAUGCAUGUUUUUGUUCUAGUUAUGGAGAUCUUGGGGUUUGCGCAAUCUGCGUCUAAUAGGCCUCGCUCAAACUCCAUCAAAAAAGUUGAGAUGAAAAGCGAAAAACUCGUUUUGAAAAUUGAAAGAAAAGCAUCGUGUCGAAUCUGGCAAGCAAGAAACCCACUUCACCUUUCGAGCACAGAAAAAGCCAAAGCCAGCGCAAUUGGUGGGAGAGGCCAUCGCGAUGGAGGCAAAAUCCUGCCACAAGGGAAAAGCCCCUGGUUGCAGGAAGCUUCCGCCUUCAACGAUGGCGGCCACCACCAAAUUAGGGGAUCUUGGAAAUUAAAACGUCUUUGGCAGCUUCGGAGGCCGUAGCUGUGGUUGCCUUCGCUCGCGGCCUGGGCAGGGCCGAAAAGAUGAAAAUAUUGGUGAAAAGGGAGAGACCAAAGACGAGGAAAAAGGAAGCACACCGGAAACUGCACGCUAACCAGACGGCUUUUCUCUCUCCUCUCCUUUUCUUUCUCCUCUCUGUGUCUCUGUGUCUCUGUCUCUCUCUCUCUGGAGCCCUCCCUUUCACGUUCAGACUAUAUUAUAUAUAUUCUAUUAUAGAUUUGACCCAAAGAUUAGAGGGACUGAUCAUUAACAAGGGCGGCAAAAAGAAGAGUUUUUAAUGCUAACUAUUCUGAUCUGUCUGUUGAAUUCUUGCUUAAGCCAGCAACAGCAUGGAAACUUCAGAUAUUAAAAGGGAAACAGAUAAGAAAUUUUCAUCUUCAUUCUUUUGUGUGGAGGAAAAUCAAUCGUGGAAAUGUGUUUGGUUCAAUACGCGUUUUGCAACUUCAGAGAUUGAGAACAGGAGAGAGGAAAUAUUUUCAUCUUCAUUCUUGUGAGAGAGAAAAUAAUCGUGGGAAGGCGUUCUGACACUGGAAAAGGAGACAAAAAGGAAAUUUUCAUCUCCGACUGCUUGACUUUUCUGCCGAUAAUAUAUUAAUUAAGUAUUUUGGUAACAACAGAAGCGUGUCUUAGAGCACUUGUUAGGUUACACCGUUACAGGUUUAUUCAAUAUGGAAGUUUUGAUUUAUAAGGCGUUAAUAAUAUACCACACGAGAAAAACGGAGUAUUAAAAGCUGCAAACGUUCUUGACAUGGCUUCUCAAUAAGUAUCUCAGCUUCGACCCCCCCAAAAAAACGAAAAAAUAUCACGGCCAUGGGCACUUUCUUUACGUUUUAUGACAAAAUCCCUCUGAUAAAAGUCAUCAAAUGGUGUACAAUAAAAUCCGCAAAUAUGCUAUCUAAUAAUUGUGUUUUCUCCCUCAAAAUUAUAAUAAAUGAUCGUUAUCGGGCUCGUGGACUCUUUUAGGGUUUCAUUAUCAAAGGGGGAACUUAGUAGAAAGUUGAAUUUGGUAUUAUGAGAUGCUGACAAGCUAUAGUUUUCUCUGGAUUUGUUCUAACAUCACUGAAAAUUGAUUAGAAUAUAAUAAACUUACUAGCAUGGAAGCACCGAAUUCAUCUGACUUGGCUUAAUUUGGGGUGAUAUUAUUAACUACAAGACUUUUCUAAUACACUAGCCAAUGUAUGUUAACUAUUAUAGUUGCGUAAUGAGUUACUUUAGCUUUUGCAGUCAAGCACACAAUAUCAAUCUGAAAAUAAAGCAUCGAAACUCUUUGUUUACUUAAUUAAUUUGCACUAAGCAUGGUGCCUCUUUUUCCGAAUUCCUUUUUUUUUUUAAAGAUAUAUAUUGAAAAAUUUGGAGAACUCUUCUACUGCAUUUGAUUUGCAUUAUCUAUUUAUAAAAUCAAAAGUCCGCUUAUUUCGCUGGAUUUUAAAUAUAUCUCUUAUUCUUCAUCGCCCGUGUAUAGGCUAUCGCAUUAGACUUAGAAACUAGCAUGAUGUGGUUUUUAAUGUGUUUAUGUAAGGUGUAGGGGCCGUGUGAUUCUAUCGCACUGGUUGAUAACGUUAUAAUUCCAUGCGUCUUUGCGUUGAUUUCAAGCCAAUUUUACUUGUGGUCACCGUAGUGAAAUUUGUGAUCAAGUUGCUAGGUUUUGAUUUCAAUCUCCAAAUAUAUAAUGUUGAACCUUUUUUCCGAUUGAUGUCCUUUGAAGAAAUCGAAUUAUUUUUCUAUUAAAAUAAUCUUAGAAUUGGUGAUUUGUUCAGUGAGUCAAUUGUUCUCCAAAAGAUCAGUCGGUACAUUAAUUGCAAACAAUCUUACAUAUAAUUAUUGGGCAAUUAAAUUCAAAGUUCGAGUAACCUAAUUAUAAAUUUUCCCAAAUUUCUAUGGUGGAGUUAAAUUACCACUAAUUUCUAUGUGAUCACAAGUAAACAUGACUUUCGCCCCGCAAAAUGAAACUUUAUUUCUACUUCGGCCAAAUAGCCCAUCUAGUCGUCAACCCAGAAAACUAGCGGAUGUCUUUGAGCAAACCGGCCAUUCAGGUGGGAGGUGCCAGGUUCCAAUCUUUUGGCACAUUAUCCCAAUAAUUACUUUUUCCAAUCUUUUAUCAAACUAUCCUUUCUUUCUUUCCUUAUUGUCCGCUCAAAUAUUAAUCUAAUAAUAUCUAACAAAUCAAUAAAAAAAAAAUCCAAGAACUAAACCUUUAUUGUGGUUUGAUGUAAUUAUUAAAGGGUCAACACUAUGGUUUAUUUUCCGAUAUUGAAAAUUAACAUGAUGAGAAUAGACAUAUUCUUACUUCGGAUGUAAAUACAUCAACUUUGAAAAUUCCUUAUGUAAUAAAUUCUUCUUGGCAUUGACUGAUACUUCAUCCGUGUAAUUUUUAAAUGCUAUAUCAAAAUUAAAAUUUUAUUUUGAGACCUUGUCAUUGAUUAUACUCUAAUCAAAGCUUGUUAGAAUAGUACACACUAUCCCAGUAUAUGCCAUUUUAAAUUGCCUUAUUGAGAAAAGAUUAAUGUUAAAUGUAAGUAUGCAGUUGUACAGCGCCCUGGACAUUAAAUGUCCAGCGCCCUGGACAUUAAAUGUCCAGCAUAGGGACAAAGUACUGGUUGAAUCCUCGUUAUGUCCCCUUUUAUCCCUCGGAGAAGCCUCACCAUUAAAUCCCCGGCUAUUGCUCAAAUCAAGCGUGGGAACAAGAACGUCAACCCUCUGUUCGAAAGCUUCUCCGUGAAAUCCCCCCUCUAAUUUGCAUUCGCUGUGAGCUCUUUGCCUCUCGUGCUGAGGUGAAAGAAACAUCAACCCUCUUUGUUAGAAAGCUAGCACAAAUCAAUGUCGGACAUCAACUCUACUUCAACUGAAGCUCAGAGGUUAGUUUUACAUUCAACAACUCGAAAUUUACAUCGAUUACUACUCUUCAUUUGCUUGCGUACAUAUAUGUCGUUCCUUAGGAACCAUAUCCUCCUUUGCAUCAUGAGCUUUUAGGGCACUGGGCUUUAUAAGUUUCUUGGAACUUUUAUUUGCACAAACUUUCACAAAAUCGAUCCAUUUUGAUCAUGAGUCAUUCAUCAGUUUAAGACUUAUUAUAGAGACCUUUUUUUCUUGAUGUAAUUAUCAUAAGGACUUUGCAUGUCAUUGAUACUAACUUUUGAGUGCUAUUUUUGAUUGGCAAAUAACAUGUCGUAAUGCAAUCUAAUUCUCACCAUCAUGUACACUUAAUUUUACUAUGUGGAUGAGUAAGCUUCCAUUGAGCAAGAUUUAAGCCGUUCCUACUACAAGCUUGUAUUAUUUAUUUGUACCUUAAAUAAAUAAUUUUAGAUUUUGUUGUUAUUUUUGGUAGAGGCGGAGGACAAGAAGAUGCCAUCAUUGAAAAAUUGAAAGAUUUCUUGACAUCCUCGCUUAGAUGGUCACUUGCUUUUCUUGGAGUCAAGGAUUUACUUAUAAACAAGCAAUUGACCUUCGUCGUGAUUUCCAUAGCUCUCAUAAUUCUUUUCGGCAUCAGUUCACGAACAACACGAGGCAAUCGUGGAAUGAUAUUCAUCAAUUUUGCGUUUCUUGUACUUGGAUGUCUCAUUGUUGGAAUAACACUCAACUCGAUUGUACCAAAUUCUUAUAUCAAGUGGGCUAUCUAUGGUAUAUUCCUUGCUAUGGUAGCUACAAAUCCCGAUUAUCAACAAUUUUUUCAAGAGAUGAAACAAAUCAUCAAGUCUAUGUGCGGAGCAACUUAUUUGAGACUCAGAGACUUGUUCAUUGAUUCACUUGGGUUCAUCGAAAAUCUUUUGAAAAUUAAUGUUGCAAACCAAGAAGAAUCAUCAAUGAAUAAUACCAUUGCAACUCAAUCGGUGGAUGGCAACGGUGGUGGAGACGAGGAGGACAUUGCCUAGUUGGUCUCGUGAUAGAAUUUGUCACCAUUUAUCUUUUUUUUUUUUUUUCCUUUGCAUUGUAAGGUGUUUGAACGAUAUGUAAAAUGGAUAUAUGAGGUUUUCCCCUGUUUACGUGUUUGUACUAUAUGCAAAUAUGUGGUCAAAUUAUAGUAGUUUUUUCGUUCAUACAUUAAAAUUGCAACUUUGCAUGUUUACUCCAUUUUCAUGAAAUUGUGAUUGAUCACUUUUUCUUUCAUAGCAUCAUUUACAUCAAUGCUGCAUUUUAAGUUACGGUUUUGAUUUUGAACGGUCACAUGUCUGGAUUUGAAGCAAUACUUAAUCUAUAAUAGGAAAAUCCAUUUUGAUGACCCUAAAGUCAAACCUACAUAGGAAUUGAAUGUGAAAUGCUAUAUAAAACAAGCACAUAUGCACAUGCACACCUGGUCGUGUGUGUAGUCCCACCUUUUGUAUGAGCAAUCAAUCGGAGGAUCAAUCAAACCCUCCCAUUACGAGCCGGAAAAGGCGAAGCUAAGAAGGAAGUUUUGUGAACUCUCAAUAUGCUUUUCUCAAAGUUAUGGCAAGAGGAAAUGUCCGGGCUGAAAAGAAGCUGCUAUUUGACAAAAAGGAGAAUCGUCCGAGGGGGGGGGGGGGGGGGGGCGAAUGGUAAAUGAGAUUGAACUAUGCGCGAUGACAAAAAGCUGGCAUUUUCGUUGACUUGACUCGCUGCAGUCUUUCAUUAUCUUAAGGAGUUAAUCUGAUUGAUUACAACACAUGCUCUUGAUCUAAUAUAGUCACAGGAUCACGGCAUGCACUAUUUUACAUUGCUUUAUUCUUAAAAGAUAAAUGUCAAAUGUAAAUAUCUAAAUUUUCUAACAACUGGAACAUUAUGACGAUUUAUAUUGUGAUAACGUGCUGCCACAAACUCAAGACGAUCCAUGUCUUGAGUUUGUUGGGAGGAGGUUGGGACCAACCGAGGAUCCACAUCCGGUCAAAUGGAUUUUGUAUGGAUCCAAUGGGGUCCCCUUUGAAAAUCAAGGGGGUGUCAUGUCCCCAUCAGACAUGGGACAUUGAAAAUCAAGAGUGUCAAGGGCGUAUCGGCGUACCGCCAUCUGAUGUAGAACACUGAAAAUCAAGAGGAUUAAUAUUAACUUCACAAGGCUUCUAUGUACGCUGUCCAACGAAGUGUACGUUCCACUUCCUCUUUUUUAAUUUUUAAGAAAAACAAUAACAGGGUUCGUUGAACUCCAACUUUUCUAGAACAUGGUGGAUCAUAAGUACCAUUUGAAAGGUACAUAAUCCAUUCAUGCAAAUAUGCUCUAUGAACUCUGCUCAAAACACGGACUAAGUAGCUAGUUUUUUUUUUUUUUUCUUUUGAAUAUGUUUUUCUUUCAAAUUAAUACAUUCUUGAUUUGGUAAAAGGACAACUAGUAACCACAACAACAGCAACAACAUGAAAGGUUUGACUCAACCAAAAGUUUCCACAUUACAUUCACCUCAUUGAAGCUACUUAUCAUCGCACAUUUCAAUUUAUAGCCUACUAGGGCGCUAAACACCAGAUUAUGCAGUUUUAUAUUUUUAGUGAGGUCAUCUAUCUCAUAGCAUUAAUCAAAAUGACCGGAUCCAUGAGGGCAAACUCAAUAAACUGGUACUUGUCCAUUGUUUUUGGGACUCUCUACUCCACAUUGCUACUUUAGACGAGCUUGUCUCUAACCAUGCGGUAGAUUGUCAACAUAAGCUCAUUAAUAUUUGCUUUGGCAUCAUCUUGUACGCUUGCAUGAGGUUUAAAUUGGUUUUUAGAGAUUGUUCAGUCAUAGAUAAUCUGCCAUUUUUCAAAGUGCUGUUUGAUUUUUUAAGUUGCUGCAAUCAUACUGUAUUUGUAAUAAAUACUUGUGAUGUAGAGAAAAAAACAUGCCAUCAUAUACAUGCUCUUUAUUUGGUGCAACUUAGUUAUUGCCAUUACGUAUGUGAAUAUUAAUAAUUCAUUUGAUUCUUUUCUUGGCCAUUUUUUUUCCUUCUAGUUUCUUCUGUGAAGUGUCUAUGAGCUUUCCAGGGGUCAAUUCCAUCAACUCAUACUUAAGAGUGUCGCAACCUACCCCUCAAUACGAAGGGAAUUAAGUUUAGGGUAUUGUCUAAAAGAUUGGCCUACGGCCUUAGUUUUGGACAUGAGCUCUCCUAAGUUUACACCUCACGUGAUAUUGAGUGUUCAAAUUGAUACUGUGAGGAUUUUUUAAAAAUGAGUUGCUACUAUUCUAUUAGGGCCAGUUAGAAACUAAGUGAGGUAUAAGAGUGUGCCUCACUUCUUACACAAUUAAAGAAUCUAGGGUCUAAUUAAUCAAUUAGUGCCAUUAUGUUCAUUUUAGAAAGAAUUUUGUCAGAAAGUUUGGGUUGAUUUUAAACAUAUUCACUAAUUUGUGAGGUGAUUAUACUAGUGUAUAAUCAUUAAAGUAAUAAUCAACAACCAAGAAAAGCAUUACAUAAAUUGCAAGGAUGUAACAUUCCUAAAUAGGGAGCAUUCCAUCUCUAAUUAAGCUUAAGGAAGGCCAUGUGUGCAAUCUCGCGAUAAUUGAAAUGGAUAUGUGCAAGCAACGACAUAUCAUUUGUCUCUAAGAAUACUCAAAUCAUGAAGCCCUAAGAGUUUGUUCGAUUUUGAGCACAUUUUUAUCAAGGAUUUUUGCUAGUGUAAAGCACGGAUGCAUUGCCAAAGUUCAUUACACAAAAGUUGUCCAUUACACUGUGGAAUGGAUGGAUAAGCAUUGGUCAGCUUUCGGCUUUGCUCGACCAUUUUUUAAAAGUUUUCUUGGCCUUUGCUUGGCCACUUUCAGGCCCACAUGUUUGGCCAGUUCCACCACACACACACACAACCAGUCCCGCCAAUUACCGGACUGUCCAACAGCCAACAAAACAAAACAUUCGACCAAAAAAGAAAAAAACCAACAAGACACGCUCUUUUUUUCGGUUCCUAACCAACAGAAAACAGAUGGCCGAAUGCUUUUGCAGCAUCAAAGCACAGUGCAGAAGUUCUCCAUGUAUUUUGAUUAGCACGGCCAACCUUGGCCAAUUUUCGGCCCAUUCUUGGCCUGUUCUAUUCUACCGAGCAAAACCGGUUCCACUAAAUUGUGGGGGCCGUUUGAGAAAAGUGUUACUUCGUCGGCUCUCUUGAGAUGAUGCGUCCAGUGUGGGGUGUAUUUUGAAAUAUUCCCCUAACGUAUUAUUCGCAUCAUUAAAAGUUGAUGCUAUAUGACGUAGUUUUAGUCUUUGGAUGCAAGAGCAAACUCGGAACUCAUAGAGAGCAAAAUAAAAGUCCGAUCAUAAUUUUUUUUUUUGGGUCAAUAAAGUUGACUAAGUUUAAAUGUGUAGAUAUAGAAGACAUAUUUUGACAUUUUAGAAGGGCCCAUCAAUGUUGAGGAGAGCAAUUUUUUCGUUUUUCAUUUGUUUUUGCACUAGAAAUUUAAAGAAGCAACAAUAUGCAAUUUAAGAAUGUAGAAAUAACAGAGUGAUGGUAAUUUUUGCAAAUGCUCGUAAUGAACUGACUUAUGGAGAGAAACCGUUAUAUCCAACAUGUAUGUUCAUAGUAAGAUUCAUGUGAUAACAUGUCAGCUUCUCCAUUUACUUUGCUAAGCAAUUUUUUUGAAGUAACACUUGCAUGUACGAUAUAUUAAAGUCAGUUCAAAAUGAAAUCGCCAUUCUAAAGUGAAUUCGAAUAGUUCAUAUAUCAUCUCCUUAGUUUCAACCUACAACAUGGAUAUUUUCAUGUGCUCUCGAAGCACGAUUUUUUCAGCUUGCUCAAACGAAAGUUCACAUGUUAAGUGAGUCUUAAAAGUGUGCAAGUCUUCAUCUCAUUUGAAGUAGUUAAGUGCCCCCAAAUCACCUUGUCUACGACUCGGUCCGGACCGGACCGGUCCAAAUGCUUAAGCCUCAAAACCCGGUCGGACCGGUGCGACUCGACCGCGCUUGCUCUAUCGACUUCCCUCCCAUUUUCUUCACUCCCCUCGAGCUUCUGUCAUUUCGCCACGCCCAAUCGCCAUUUUCGUCUCGAGAAUUCGCCGUGACCGCUCGAAUGGCGGCGAAGCGCCGCUCUCCCGCUUCCGACGCGGAGCCCGACGGAGCGGAGGCGAGCUCGGGCUCCGAACCGGAGCCUCCGAUGCUACCCGACCCAAAGGAGGCGACGCGCGUAUCGAAUUACGAGAAGCAGAGGCUGUCGAGGAUCGCGGAGAACAAGAGGAGGAUUGAGGCCCUGGGCCUCCGAAACCUGGCGAGUUCCGUGGUGGGUUCGAGUCGGAAGGCGAGAAAGGGUGACGCGAAGGGCAAAAAGGAAGGUGGGCGGCGAGGACGAUGACGACGACAACGACGACAAGGAUGGUGAUUACGCGCCUGCUUUGGACGGCGAUGGCGGCGAUGCCGAUGAUCUUAGCGUCGAC
rnacentral:lncRNA from 1 species